AAAAUCCCAAGUACUUCCUGCUCCUGCAAUAUCAUUGCUGUGUAUUUGCUUUCCCCUUAGACAUAUUCAAUUGUGGUUCAGGGUAAAAAAGCUACAGCUUUUCCUGCUAUGUGCAACAAGCUGUCAGAUCAGAGUGAAAUCGAAAACAGGGUUGUGGUUGAUGGCAACCUCAUCACCAGUAGAGGGCCAGGAACUUCUAUGGAGUUUGCACUGGCAAUUGUGGAGAAGUUUUUGGGCCGCAACAAGGCACUUGAGCUUGCAAAGAUAAUGCUUUUCACUCGCGCCUAACGUUUGUAUGGGGACCUGUCUACUAUUAAACUAGUGUGUUUAUUUCUGUAUUGCUACUGCUUGUAGAGAGGGGAAAUGGAAACUUGAAUUCAUGUUUGAAUAUGGAUUCACUGUGUGGGUUUGUACAGCAGUUUGGUUUAUAAAUAAAUGAGUUCAUGGAGUCACUUCAAAUAUUCGGAAUAAACCUGAGUUUAGAUCUGUUAUCAAUGGUCGGAGUCCAAUUGCGAUCGACUCACUGGGAAUUUUAAUUAUGAAUCAUGUUAUAUUCCACCUUUCUCAUAAAAUGUUAACUCGAUUUACAGGAUAAGAAGGAAAAGAAAGACGCUAAGAGAGGAGCAGACACCCAAAAAGAGUUGACCACUUUGUUGGAACAUAAAUCUCUAGAAUAUUGAAAUAAAACACAUACCAUAUCUAGUAUCAAGUAUGUAUGUGCAAGAAGAUACAAAUUUGAAGAUCAGAUUUCUCAUUUCAAUUUAUGUUCUGCUUAGAGCAAUGGCUCUUAUUCCACAAGCACAAGCAGGAAAGAGUACGCACGAAGUUAAGAAACACACAUUGCAAAAGUUGCAUUAACUACUUGCGGCAACAUCAUCCAAGAACUUGACUUUAAUCUUCUUGAGCUUCGCUGCAGCAUCUGUCAUAUGCAUUCUCUUGUCAGGUGACUCCAUACAACAAUCCAAUGCCAAAUCCAUGAUGCUUAAUAAACAAUCCAUUUUGGCAGAAAAAGCUUGCUCUUCUCGCACCAAAUUUGCGUCAACAACUUCACUCAAUCUGUGAGGUAAUGACUCCUUCACCCAUCUCCUUAAACUCAUUUCUUCUGUGAACAUUUGAUCGGUGGGCCUCUUUCUCGUGAAAGUUUCCAUCAAUAACACACCAUAGCUGUAGACAUCACAUUUGGCUGAAACAAUUCCUUCUAAUCCAUACUCUGCAUUUUUUAAUUUUAAUUAUGAAACAAAUGAUAAAACAAAUAAUUUUUUUGAUAAUUAAGGUAACCCAAACUUUGCUCGUGCUUGAAAAAAGAGCAAAAAUUUUAAUUACAAUUGAAACUUUACCUGGUGCCAUAUAACCAAUUGUAGCCAUUGUCAUGGUUUGUGUCACACAAUCUUCUCCUUCACCUAAGAGUUUGGAAAUGCCGAAGUCGCACACAUGUGCCAUCAUAUUUUCAUCCAAGAGAAUGUUGGUGGGCUUCAAAUCACAAUGAAUUAUAGGUGCCGACGAAUGACCAUGAUGGAGAUAUUCAAGAGCCGACCCCACAUCUAUCAUUAUAUUCAACCUCUCUAGAAUGUCUAAGAAAUAAUUGUAAGAAUACAACCACUUCUCGAGACUACCAUUUGGCAUGAACUCAAGUACCAAUGCUUUGAAAUCUGGAUUAGAACAACUGCUAAGGAUCUUUAUGAGAUUUCGAUGACGAACAUUCCGUAAAACUUCACAUUCAGAAUCAAAACUCCUAAAUGCUCUCUCUAGUUGCAGAUUGAAAAUCUUUAUUGCAACAUUAGUCCCGUCGGAAAUGGUUCCUUUAUAAACUGAUCCAAAACUACCUGUACCCAGCAAGUUACAUUCAUUAAAUUCAUCAGUUGCUCGUUGAAUGUCAAGGUAGGAUGUUCUUCUCCAUGUUGCAAGAGGUAGGAAAUCUUCGUGAUCUGAUUUUUUUGUACUCCUCUUUCGGCAUCUUAUGUACAUAAUGAUGAUAAUCACUAUAAGUACAGAGGAUACUAUCGGAGGCAAAAUAUAUUUAAGGACAAUUAGAGCAACGUUCUUGGUGCUUUUGCUGUCACCUUGUUUGCAAGGUGGGACUCGGAGUUUAGGUGGACCACAGAGUGCAUAAUUUCCGAAAAAUGAUUCAGUUGACAAGUUUUUAAAAGACCCCUUAACAGGAAUUUCCCCUUCUAGCCUAUUAUGAGACACAUUAAAUUGUUUGAGAUGUGACAAUAUCUCCAAUGACUUAGGAAUUUUUCCAGAGAGAUUGUUGCCGGAGAGAUCUAAGGAUUCUAAGCUUAUCAAACUGCCAACUGAUUCAGGAAUAGGUCCCUGAAAUUGAUUACGAGCCAAGGAUAGAGUUUCUAGAUCUAUGAGGGCACCAAUGGUUGAUGGAAUAUCACCUAAUAAUUGAUUCCUUGAUAAAUCUAAAACUGUCAAGACCUUUAACUUUUGUACAUUGGAAGGGAGAGGACCAUUUAAUGAAUUAGACGACAAGUUUAUCUCUAAGAUGUACUCAAGGCUCCACAAGGAUGACGGUAUACUAGAAGUGAGCUUGUUGGAGCCUAAGCGGAGUUCUCUUAGAGAUGUCAAACUCGCCAAGCAUGGCGGUAUAUGUCCAGAGAGCUUAUUUCCAUUUAACCUUAUUCCGUAUAUCAACUCCAAGUGGCAAAGAUCAUAGGGAAUGGAUCCUUCCAAAUUAUUUUCUUCAAGAGAUAAACCUUGUAGCCGCUUAAGUCUUCCCAUCGUUGGUGAAAUAGUUCCAUUCAAGUCAUUGAAGCCGAGGCUUAAGAGGAUCAGGCCACGCAACUUACCAAUUUCUUUAGGAAUGCUGCCCCCGAGUUUGCAGUUGGAUGCAUAAAAUUGUCGAAGAGAAGCAGAGAAAUUUCCAAUCACUGGUGGAAGGAUGCCACCCAAUGGAUUAUAAGCUAAGGCUAAAAAUGUUAAAUUUCUGCAAUUAGUCAGAGAAGAGAGAAAACUCCACUGAUCUGCUGAAGAUGAUUCUGUCGUCAAGUUAUUAAAUGCUAAGCUGAGCACGUCGAGGUGUCUCAAGUUGCCAAAUGUAUUUGGAAUAUGGCCCGAGAAUGAGUUGAAGCCCAAGUCUAGGGCAACGAGUUUAGUAGCAUUGGUGAUAGAGUGGGGAAUUAUCCCUAUAAGAUUAUUGGCCGACAAGGCUAAAUACUCUAUGUUCGGAAGCGAGUGGCCAAUCGUUGACGGUAAGCGGCCUGAGAGUUGAUUGCCCCCCAGAGUAAGGAUUCUCAUGGUUGAAAUGUUGAAGAUCGUGGGUGGAAUGAGGCCACUUAAAUUGUUGUCAGCAAAAACAAGAACCUCCAAAUUUUCCAGAUUGCCAAUCUCGGUUGGAAUUUGACCUGCCAUCAGGCCAACAUUGAGGAGUCAUUGAGCUUUUAGCUUAAGGUAAAUUGAGUUUGACAAUGUUACCCUUGAAAAUGUAAAAGGAUCAAAUUAAUUUUAUUACACAAUAAUUUCAGCCAAUAAUGUUCUUUACACAAUAAUUCUGCAAAAUAUGCAUGCAAAUGGAAAAAUAUGCUUCAAUUACAAGAGGUGGUGGAGCGUACCUCGAAGAUUGCUGAAGCUAAGAUCCAGAUACACGAGUUUACUCAAAUUUCCAAUCCUUGAAGGAAUAUUUCCACCAAUAGUAUUGAACUCUGCACGCAGCGUCUCUAGCCUUGAUAAGUUGAAGAGAGAAUUAGGGAUGGGACCUGUGAAACUGUUAUUAUAAAGUCUCAAUAUUCGGAGUUUAGAUAAGACACCAAUCCAUGAUGGAAAGCUUCCGCUCAAUUUAUUGUAAGCGAAACUCACGACUCUGAGUCGACGUAAUUGCCCCAAUUCUUUCGGCAGAUGGCCAUGAAAAUUGUUCUCACUAAUGUCAAGAGACACUAGAAAUGAGAGAUUUCCCAAGUGUAGUGGAAUGGUGCCUCCGAGACCCAUAUCUGAAAGAUUCAAGGCAGUGACUCGUUGAUGGCGUGAACCACAAGAGAUACCAACCCAGCUACAUAUUGGAUAAGAUAUAGACCAAUUAUUUGCCAGGGCACUCCGAUAAUCAAGAAUGUGGGCUUUGAAUGCCAGAAGAGCUGAUUGAUCUGUUGUUAAAUCGUUUAAAGUCGUCACAGCUAAGCUAGCAAUGAGAUACUGUAACACUAACACCGACAUAGGAACAAAGAAGAAUGAUAAGCGCAUAUUGGUCGUUUUUAGUAGUAGUUGCAAGGCGAGAUUGAUACAAGUUUUAAGUAAAGGAAAUUAGCAUAUACUUAUAAUGAGACAUAUGAAUUUGAAAAUAAGAGCAGAAAAAAUAUACAGGAGACUUGCAAAUUGUUAUAUUCUGUCAUUGAGCGAGCCGUCCAAGUAAACGCAUUUACACUUGAACCCUAAAUAAAGGCCUUAUGGCACUUUAAUUGCCAUAAGGAAGAAGAUGCUCAACAUUGCCAAAAGUGUUUUUCUUGAAGUCUCGUCUUCCGUAAUGUUUGUAAAAUCGAGGUUUUACCAUCUCUAAUUAAAUAUUUACUCUUGAUUUAGACCACGUAAUCUAAACUUGACGAAAAAUUAUGAUCUUAUGUGAUUUUAUGAAUGUGGUCUUAUCUCUUAUAAGUCGGCAAUGAAUUAAUUAAAGCUUGCUGACAAAUUACAAGCUCAAAAAUAUCUUUUACUUAUUCACAAUCUUAUUUCAUUUUUUUAUAACAUAAUAUUAAAAAUUUGUCUAUUAAAUUAAUUUAAUAAUUUUUUUAAUAAAAAAUCUCAUUGACGACCAAACAACUAAUUUUUUUUUUAUAAAAGCUUUGCUUGUUAAAAUUAUGCUGAAAAAAACUCUACUUAAGUAAGUUCUAUUUUUUUUAUAAAAGCCAUUUUAUUUCUUUAUCUUUUUUAAUUAUUAUUGGAAAAGUAGCGCAGCUUAUCAAAAAAGGAAAGAAAAAAAAAAGUCAAAGUGACGAGUGGCUUGUUUUUUAAUUUCAAAGUCAAUGCAAAGUAAAAGUACCGAAAUAAUCAGUUUUUAAAUCCAAAUAAGUGGCAAUAAAGGGAGGUCUUGUUAGGGGUGUUCGCGGAUCGAAUUUUAUGGAUUGGACAUCAAUCCAUAUUCGAUCCACGAUUUUACGGAUUAUAAAAUUUCAAUCCAAUUCAAUCCACGGAUUUGUAAAAUUCAAUCCAAAUCCAAUCCAUAAAUCUGCGGAUCAGAUGCAAAUUUGACCUAAUCCAUAUCCAAUCUACAAUUUUGCGGAUUGGUUUGUGGACUGAAAAUUUUUAAUUCUGUCAAAUCCACGAACUAACUAAAUAAAAAAAUUUAAUAUAAAAAUAAUUUUACUACGGAUCAAAUUUAAAAUUAAAUAAGAUUUAAAUAAAUAAAUUGCUUAAAUAAAGCUAGCAAAUACAUUUAAAGUUUCAAAAUAUAACACACCAAAAUGAAAAAAAUAUCAUUCGUUUUAGAUCAAGGAAAUUAACUAUUUAGUAAACUAUAUUUGUUUAUUUAAUUAUUUUUUAUUUUUUAUUAUUAUCGGAUAUGAUAUAAUAUAAUGUUAAUGUAACUAUAUUUUAACUUAUUUAUUUACUAGUAAGUACUAAUAACAUAUUUACAAGUUUUAUUUUUAAUUAAAUAAAUACUUUUUAUUUUUUUGCGGAUUCGCGGAUUUUUACCGAUUUACAGAAGUAGAUCCAUAUCCAAUCCACUGAUUGCGGAUUAUCAAAUUUUCAAUUCAAUCCAAUCCACCAAUCCACGGAUCAGACGGAUUGAGCAGAUCGAAUUAGAUUAUGAACACCCUUAGGUUUUGGUGUGCAUUGUUGAAAACUUGGAAGUCUAUAUGACCAUUUAACCAAACUAUAGGGGUAUAACUGUCACAAAUUUUUAAAAAUAAAUUUUACCAAACAUUUAAAUGAUUUUUUUUUCACAAUUGAUUAUUAAAUUCUAAGUGUUAGACUAUUGUAAGAAUACAAAUAAUUGACAUGGACAUAAUAUUAAAUAAAAUUUACUUAUAUAUAUAUAUAUAUAUAUAUAUAUAUAUAUAUAUAUAUAUUAUUGUUUGUAUAUAAAAAUUGCUAACUAAAAAAUAUUUAUAUUUUAUCAAUUUUAUUUCUUUUAUUUUUUUAUCUCAAGAUAAAUAUAAUAAUAACAAUCUCUCUAAAUUUAAUUAUUUUUGCUCUUUAUUGAAUAAGGAUAAUUUUGAGUUUCUGUAAUAUAUGUGAGGAUAUAUAUAAAAUUGUAUUAAAUAUAUAACUAUUCUCAAAAUUAAAUUUUAAAAAACUAGUUCAUUCUCACUUUUCAUUUAAUUAGGCAAAUGGCCACAGAAAUUGUUCUCCCUCAUAUCCAAAUAAACUGAAAACGAGAGAUUUCGUAAGUGUGGAGGGAUGAUGCCUUCGAAACCCAUCACUGAAAGAUUCAAGUUUGUGACUCUAUGGUAUGAGCACCACAACAUAUGCCAAUUCGACUGCAUAUUGAGUAAGACAUGGACCAAUUAUUCAAGAGAUUCAUGAGCCUUCGAAGUGAGAAAUAAAGCAAAUUAUGUGGUGGUCGUGGGUCAAUUGACUACGUUUCGUGAUCUACGUGCGAUUGCAACAGUCGGUUCAUUAAGUGAAAUUAAUGACUCGUCCACUAUAGUAAGAUACUGUCCUCAUUAGGUUGGUGCUGGGUCAAUUUUAUCCAUGAGUCAACUUACAUUAAUUUGAAUUAAUUUAUAAGAGUAUCUCAUUUUCGUUGAUUACGAGUUGUGAUCGAUGACAUGCACGAAAGCAGUCAAUUUACAGGUCAUUCACUAUAUAUAUGGGGUCUAUGGGUGGAUGGAUCUAACGUAAAUUAAGGGUUGAUGAUGACCCUCGACUUCUAACGACGACCAUCGAAGACGACCUUGACUUUACAUGCAAACACACAAUUCGCUCUCAUACAUUAUGUUUUAAAAUUUCUCCAUUUUCCGGGGCCCCGCUGUCGACCGUACACAGUUUAAUUUGUAUAUACAAGACCUCAUUGUUUCUAGCAAGCAUAGAGCCAUAGACCAUAUUAAUUCCAAUUACAUAAAUCUUCAUUUUUAUCAUGAUUUUGGAUCUCGAGCAGUGUGGAUAUAUCCAACCAGAUCCGCCUCACUGGCAUCCCAAUAUAUUUUAGAAUUGAGUAAUGAGUAUCAAUAAAUGUGUAAUUGUAAAUCUACAACGUUUAAUUUUAAUUUGAGGACUCAAAUGAAUUUAUCCAACAAUACCUCGUUAAAUUAAUAUUCCAUAAAUUUUUAACUUUAAUUAAAUAACAAAUUUUGUCCGUCCCAACUUAGGAUUAACGUGGUAAUUAAUAAUUUGAUAAAUUGUUAGAUAAUAAUUUUUUAAAAAAAUCUUAUUUUUUUAUUGGAUCAAACUGAUAUAUAAAUGAAUAAUUAAUUAAUUUUAAAACUAAAUUCAUGUUAUGUCAAUCAAAUGUUAUUGCAAAGAAGACUAGCAGCGACGCUUUGAAAGGUACACCAAAGCCUUUUGCACCUUCUCCUCCGUGACCACCAAUAGAUACUUCCACCAUUUCAACGUCAUGACAUGAUGUAAGUUUCUUUUGUAGAAUUUGCGAAUUGGUAAUCUUUUACACGCGUAUAUUUAUAUCAUUGUAUAGUUAUAGAUUCAAUUACUUUUAUGAUGCAUUUAUUAAUUUGGAAUUGAAGUAGACAAGAAUGGGCUGUAAUGUGAAUGGAGAAUCGAAAUUAGAAUAAGUUAUUUACUUGAACUGUAGAAAUCGAAAUGAGUUGGAUUGUCAUUAAUGUGUUUACUUUGUCUUGGAAUCAGAAUUGAAAUAAGUUAGUUUAUAACAAAUUACUAAAAACUACUUAAUGAACUAUUGUUAUAAUUAUUAUUUUGUAUUUUAAUUAUUAUGAUUAUUUAUUAAAAAUUAUUAUUGUUAUUAUUACUUAUUGUUAAUAGUAUAUUAAUAUAUUAAUAAAUUAUAAUAAUAUAUUAAAUAACUAUAAUAUAUUAAAAAAUAUACUUGUAUUUACAAGAAAUGACUGAUAAAAUUUCUAAAAUCGUCUUCCUCCCUAAAACUCUUAAUGCCACAGCCCUAAAAAUUAAAAAGAUUUGGGAAUUAUAUGUCUUUUUUAAAAUAUUAAAGGGUGUUUAUUUCCUUAAACGGUGGGGACUAAAAGUCCUAUUCCCAAACGAGUAGUGUGCCGGCGUUGGAGGCUAGAAAGACAAUUUGUUACAUUGCUUCAGAAGUGCUUAAUGGAAAUUUUGGUGAGGCAUCACAUAAUUUAAAGGAUCAGGCUACGGUGCAACUGUGGUACCGUACUACAGUUGCAUCCAGCCGUUUUAAUUCACUUAUAUUGGUGAGGUUCACUGGCAUCCAACGGCUGAAUGCAACUAUGGCACGGUACCACAGUUGCACCACAAGUUUCCCCUAAUUUAAAUUACUGGAAUUUGCAUCAAUGGUUUUUAUUGGUUUAUUUACUCGUCAACAAAUUACUGUAACUGCAGAAAACAGUGUAACACAUUGUAUAAUACGUUAAUACGUUAUAUUGGUCAGUGCUCCUACCAAGGAAAUCUUUUUAAGUUUUGUUAGCAGAAUAUUCUUGUAAGGGUGGAGGCAUAAGAGAUUAAUAAUUUAAUAUCUCUUGUUCAUUAGAAGAUUUUUUUUUUUUGGGAAAAAAAAAGAAGAAGAUGGUUUGUUUAAUGUUGAUAAAUUUUGAAGUACAAUUUUAUAGAUGUCGAAUGUGGGCAAAAAGUAAAGAAGCUCAAACACUUUUCUACAUCUAAACUAAUCAUUAGGAUUUAUAUUAACUAAUAAACCCUAAUAAUACGAGCGUUCAUAAAAACUUCAUAUGAACAUUGAACCAGCAUGGCAUCAUAUUGUAAUAAGUUGUACAGCUGUCAAUCUCUUAUUAGUCAGAUAUAUUCUGAGUUAGUUACAUGAAUGUAGUAUAAAUAUCAUACUCUGUACACAUUCUUAGUUAGUUACUUCAGUAGAAUUUUCUCUCCUCUACUCAAUUUUUAAGUUAUCUUUUAUAUUGGGGGCAAAUGAUAUUUUAUUAACGAAAUGAUUUUGCCCUCUUAAUAAGCUCUCAUUUCUCCGCUUUGAUCAACACAGCCUUCUUUUAUUACAUCAAAAUUCUUCCUCUUUCCAUCAAAAUUUCAUGGAUCUGCCCUUACGUAAAAUCAUAUGAGAGUAUAUAAUAAAAUUAAUUAGGUAUGUUUGGAACAUUUUUGGUAUCCUUAAGCUGAUUUUAUUUUUAUUUUUUUAUAGUAUAUAUUGUCAAAAGUAAAUGCUAUAAACACUUUCGGAAAAAAAGAUGAAGAGCACCUUUGGAGUAAUUUUUUCUAUAGGAACUAACAAAACAACUAAAUGAUGUAUGUAUCUCUAAGAUUUAUUAUUAUUAAUUUUUUUUUCUGUAGUUGACAAAGCAUCAUGAUUGUGUUGGAUGAUAAGAUUAAAGGUGGGAAUGGUCCGAAUGGACCAAUUUUUUAGGAUAAAAAAAAAAAUGAUUCAAUCCUGGGCAUGUUUGGCUAUCGAAACUAGUUGAUUAGUCUAAAGUUUAAUUCAAAAGUAAUGGGACUAUUAAUCCUUAGGAAAAUUAUCAUUUGUAUACUCUAUAGAUGCUCUGUUAUAUAAAAAAUUACAACACUUUGAGAGUGUAUCAAUCGUCCACCCUAAGUUGACAAAAUAUAUCUGCCGUCCAUCAAACCGUUACUUGCUGUUUAAAUAGGAUAGCGCCAGAGGGGUAAUUUGGUCUUUUCAUAUGAUACAAGUGAUAAUUCAAGGGUAUACAAGUGAUAAUAAAAGAAUUUAAAGGUAUACAAGUGAUACUUUUCAAGGGUAAAAUCAUCAAUUCGCUAUAAUUCCGUUAACUUUCAAACGACAGCUAACGGUUUAGUGGUCGGCAGAUAACUUUUUUCAAUUUAGGGUGGACGAUUGAUACACCCUCAAAGUGUUAUAGUAUUUUUUAUAAUAGAACAUCUAUAGGGUAUACGAAUGAUAAUAUCCCUAAUCAAUCCUUAAUUCAACUUAGGUUUAAGUAGUAUAUAAAAAAUCUUCUUUAUCACUCUUUUCAUUUUUAUUUAGAUUAAAAUUCAUAUAAAUAAAUAUAAAGAAUUAAUUUCAUAAUUUAUUUAAACUAAAAUUUUAUAUUAUAUUAAAUAUCCAAAUUUUAAUUCAAUAAUUUAUUUAUAUUAGAAUUUUAUGCAAUAUUAAAUCCCAAAACUUUAUUUAAUAAUUUAUUUACAAAAAUAUUAAUAUCAAAUUCAACAAUUAGUAAUAUAAUUUAAAAUAAUUACACUAUUUUAAUAGUUAUUUAGCUAUAUUAAAUUAAAUUUAACAUAUCCUUGUCCGAUACUAUACUAAACAAACGAUAGUACCUUAUAUAGUAUAGUCAAUCUAUUAUAAUAUAAUUCAAUCUAAUCGAACGUGCCAAAUCAGUACAUUUUAAAAAAUAAUUUUAUAACAGCUUUAAAAAAGCAUUUUUUAAGUUACUUUUACAAAAUGUGCUUUCUCCGAAAGCACUCGUGAAAUGCAAAUUCUCACAAAACACGUGGUGUGUUCAAUUGGGCCUCCGCCCAUUAAAACUACAACCAUGAAAGCAAGCAAUGUUCAUUGGGCUUUAUUCUCUCGAGAAAACUUAUACACGUAGCCCACCACCGGCGCCCUAAUUUGUCUCCACCUCUCUAAAUAGAGUUGGACUAUUGGCACCUUUCCAAAAUUCUUCUGAAAUUCCUUUUUCAAUAAUAUUAAGUUUAAUGCUAAAAAUAUCCUUAUUUCCAAAUAAAUACAUUUAAUUUGUGAAUAUUUUAAUUUUCUAUUAUUUUCUCGCUCCUCACAAACAAAUUUUUAUGGGCGAUAAACUUCUUGAUAAAAAUCAAUUAAUUAAAUAAAAUAUCUAUAAGAUUAUAAUGUAAAAAAUUUUAUUAUGAGUCUUAAAAAAAGACAGAUAAAUUUAUCAGAAUGUGUUUUGUUUAUUAUCAAUAGAUUAUUUUAGUAAUUAAAGAAAAAUUUAUAGAGAAUUUGAGAAAAAAAAUUACGUGUGAGUUUGAUAGCAAAGAAAAUAUAAGAGUUUUUUUUUAAGAGAGAAAAUACAAAAGUUUGAAGUGAGAUAAAAUAGAUAUAAGAUAUAUUAGAGUAUUUAUCCUUAAAUUUAAUUGUAACAAAAGAGAGGUUUUAAAAAGAUUUUGGAGGAGUGUCUCCAACUCCUCUAAAUAUUAUUGAUUGAUGCAUAUGUUUCACAGCAUAGAGUGGCUUACAUUGGAGCUUUUCUAAAAAAAUGAAAAUUUCAUUUAAUUAUUUAUUAUUCACGGAUAAGAAAUUAACUUCUUCUUUUUUCUAACGCCACAGUCUGGUGAGCUUGCCUAGUGUGUUUUAGUUGGAUAAAAAUUUUAGCAAAUGCUUCUUGGCAAGGAAGCUUAAAUAGUUUAACCUGAAUUUAACCUCGAAUGAACCCAAAUUAUUAAACCGAACCAAUCCGAAUUGUGAAUCUGAAUUUCAGUUCGAUUCAGUUUGGUUCAGGUUCGUAUUUUCAACUCGAACAAGUUUAAUGCUCCAAUUCGAUCAGGUUGUAACCUAAACCGAAACUCGAAAACCCGAACUGAAACUCAAUUUGGCCACCCCUAAUGAGAACUGAGAAGUACCUGGAUCGUAAAAGAAAGGUUUUGAUGAUAAUUUUGGCUAAAAAUCUGUUUCUUAACUUCUAUUUUUAUUUUUUUAUGCUGUAUUUUAGUUGCUGAAUAGGUUAUAUAUAGAAGUUCAGUUAAUUUUGUUUUGGAUGAAAAAUCAAUGAGUACUUCUGUGAUUAAUAAGUGAAAUUUUGUUUGCAUCAUAUAGUCAGCUAUAAUGCAUUGGAUGGCUUUGACUCAGCAUGGAAGAAAUGCUCUCCGGCAGAUUACUAAAGAGAGCUCUGAUCGCGUGUUGCAUCACCCAUUGCUAUUUUCUUGUCAAGGAGUCAGAUACAGACGAUUGGAAGUGAUUCUAACAACAAUGAGUAAAUUGAUCUUUUGUUUUCCCUUUUCACCAGUUUGGAUCUCUUGACUAAUCAGCCUGUUUGAGUUUUAACUUGUGUAUUAAUGAUUGGUUUUAUAUGUUCAGAAAGUUGACAAGCUUGGUAAAGCCGGUGAAACUGUGAAGGUUGCUCCGGGGUAUUUCCGGAACCACUUGAUGCCCAAAUUGCUUGUUGUUCCAAAUAUCGAGAAGUUGGCUCAUCUCAUUAGAGAGCAGCGCAGGUAUUUGUUUUUCAUGAUUCUUCUCGGUUGAACUUUUUUUGUUUGGGUUGAGAAUGGUUAAUUCUAGUGAUACAGAAAUUUGCUCAUUUUCUUUAGAUACUUUGUUUAGCCAGUUUGUCAAUUAAUUUGACUCAUGGCUUCAAAUUAUUGCUAAAUUCUCAGUUUGGAAAUAUUUGUGAUUUUUGAAGGGGCAUUACAAGUUAUUAAAGUUUGUUGUGCCUGUGACUUAUUUUCAUCAGAUUUGCCAGCCUGAGGAAGAGGAAGAGGAAGAGGAAGAGGAAGAGGUUAGAGUUAUCCGGAAGUCUGAGGACAAUAUGAGUAGAGAAUUUGAGAAGGCAGCUAGGCGCCUAGAGAAUGCUCGACUGGUUUGUGGCCUAUCUUUUAAUUUCUUCAGAUUCGGGACAAAUUGUCUUGGAGUGAACUGAUGUGUUGCCUUUUCCUUUUUUUUUAGCUUGAAUGAUCUAUUUGCUACAGUUAGGAGUGAACGUCGUAAUGAAUUUUAAAUUAUACUGUUUGUUUCGAUUUACUUUUCUAUCUUAGCUCCAUCAAGUGAUUAGUGGAAUGCUGGUCCUGUGAGUAUAAAAUGAAACUCCUUAAGUUAAAUUCCUUAGGCUGUGUUUAUUUUCUGUAGUGGGAGCGAGGAGUGUAAAUUCUUUUCAUUUCAGUAUUUAUUUCAACAAAUUGGCUCCGGAUUGAGAAUCCCACUCAGUAGACCCCACCCAUUUUUGGAGUGAGAUUCCCAUGGGGAGAGGUGGGAGUGAGAUUCCCACUCCCACCUCUCCCUUUUUUUACAUUUUUUUUAAUUUAAUUUAAUUUAACUUAAUUUAAUAUUUAAUAAAAUAAAAUAAAUAAUAUCAUAUUUAUUUGAAUAAUAUUAUUAUAUUUAUUUUAAAAAUAAUAAUACUAUAUUUAUUUAAUAUUAAUAAUUAAUAAUAAUAAAUAGUUUAUUCUAAGAAAAUAUUAAUUUUGUCCUAAAUAAUAUUAUAUUAUUAUUUUAUAUAAUAAUAAAUUUAAUAUAAUUAUAUUAAAUAAAAUAAAAUAAUGUUUCAUUUUAUAUUUACCCUUCUUUUUUACCCUCUUUUUAUUAAAUUUACUAUAAUUAUAUUUAAUAAAUAUUUAAAUAAUAUUAUAUUUAUUUAAAUAAUAUUAAUAUAUUUAACUAAAUAAUAAUUUGGUUUGAUUCUAAGUCUAAAUUACUUAAAAAUAAUAUUAUUAUAUUAAUACAGAAUUAAUAAUAUUACUUUUAUACCAUCUUUAUUUGAAAAUAUAUUAUUAUUAUUAUUAUAUUUAUUUAAAAAUAUUAGUAUUAUAUUUAUUUAAUAUUAAUAAUUAAUACUAAUAAAUAGUUUAUUCUAAGAAAAUAUUAAUUUCAUACUAUGUUAAUAGUAAAAUAUUUCAUUUAUAUUGCCCUUAUCAAUAAUUUUUAAUUUAUAUAAUUAAAAUUAAAAUUAAUAAAAAAAUGUGAUGUUCAUAAUUAAGAAUAUUAAUAAUUAUUAUAAAUUUACAAAUAUAAAUGUUUAUUCAUUAAAUAUAUUUUUUAUUAACUUUGUAAUUAAAAACUAUAAUUCUUUAAAUAAGGAUAAAAUUGUAAUUUGAAACUAUUUACUCCCAAUCCGAGACAAACUAAACACAUAAAUUGAAUUCUGAUCUCCAUUCCAUGCUUUCAUUUUAGUGUAAGUAAACAACAUACUCCCACUCCCAAUCCUAAGAUUCCCACUCCAAUUCAAAAAGUAAACGCUACCUAAAUACAAGUAAUCUUGCUUUCAGAUAUGAAUUAUCUGAUGGAUGUUGUAUUUUCAAGGUAUUGAGGAGAUUCCCCAAUAUUGAAAAAUUGCGUUCCCGUGCAUCAAAAGAUGAUCCCAUAGAAUUGCGUUCACCUGUGACAAAAGAGGAGCUUGUAGUUGAGGUAUGGAUUUUUAUAUUUCUUGGUUGUUUUUAUACUUGUUUCUCAUCAUAAUAGCAAAAGCAGUUUGUUCUGAGUGAUCUGUGUGGUCUCCUAUCAAUGACUGCCGUUUCUAUCAUUUAGUACUAUUGACUAUGUGUGUAUAAAUAUUUUGUUUUUACCAUGUAAUUUCAUAUUCGAUGCAUUUCUAAUACAUUGCAUAGCGUCCAUGAAUGGGAAUGAUAAAAUAAAUUUCAAGCGUGUUUCAAUAGAUGAAAAAACUUGGAACGAUUUAGAAGGAUUUGCUGAUUAAAUAAUUUUCCAAUUUGUUUGCUUGGAGGAAUUGAAUAGUUAACUGAUUAAAGGAUUUCAAGGUGGUUCGGUCCCGCUGGGCAUUGUCAAUAUCAACGGUCAUUAAUUCCUAUUAUCUGAAAUUGAAUUUCCAGUGUGGCAUGGUAACUUUCUGCUAGGGUGUGAUUGUAUAGUAGCCAAUUGUGAGCAACAGAUCCGCAUAGUAAUAUAGAUUGAAAUUUUGCAUCUUAAUCCAUGAAGAUAUAGAUUUUGGCAAUAUUAUACAAGCACUGGGGAUUACCUUAAAUAUUCUGGACUUGUCAUUGAUAGAGUUUCUUUUACCUAGUUAUUGAUAUUUCUUUCAAUUUUCUAUUUUACUCAUACAAUUUAUACAAUUUUAGGUGGCAAGACAACUUUCGUUUUCUAUUGAGCCUGAAAACCUGCAUCUACCAUCACCUCUAUCUGCUUUUCGAGAAUAUGAGGUUCCUAUGCGCUUACCCAAAGCCAUCCCCCUACCGGAAGGAAAGGUCCAAUGGAUUCUCAAUGUUAAAGUCCGCGGCAAAUAAAUAUUUUUUAGUUAAUUUUUUAAUCAAUAAAAAAAGGUAAUUAAAAAUGUAAUUAAUAAAUUACUUAUUAGCAAAUUAAAAAACAAAUAUUAGCAUAAAAUAAUUGAUAUUUCAUUCUCUUACAACAAUCUUACCAAUUAUUAUUUAUAAAUUAAUUAAUGCAAGUUAAUUUAAAGUAAUGUUUAAUAUUCUUGUAACAACCUUACUAAUAAUUUUUUGAUAAAAAAAUUAAUUUAUUAAAUUAAUCCUAGAAGUAAAAUAAUAAUAAUUAAUUUGUAUUUUAUUUUUAAGAUUAAUUUGAUAAAUUUAAUUUUUUUUAACUAAUAUCUCCAAGAAUAUAGUUGUAACGAUAUUAUUACAAAAGGAAAAAAAAUAUAAGAUUAUAAUAUAUUUACCAGUAAGAAUAAUUUAAAAUAUUUUUUAAGAUAUAAAAAUUAAACGGACACUUAAUUAAAAAAAAAAAAAAAAAACUAAAUAAGUAGUUAGCUUUUAACAUUUCAACCUAGUGGUCAUACAAUCAUGGUGCGGCCCGGGAUGGCUGGCCCAGCCCAUCAUGUAAAAAUCCAUGUCACCCUCAUUCUUAAGCUGCUACUCUGCCACUUGCCACGGAGCUCCCCACAUCAUACCGUACCGAUGCCUCUAGAAAGCUAACUUUAAAAAAAUGGUAUUAAUAAGCGUACGCCACGUCACUCCUCACUCUCUUCUUCGUCACUUUCCUCUCACUCAACAUUUUCUCCCCAAACAAAUUCCUUCUUUGAAAAAUCGCAUUUUCUCCUUCACAGCAACCGCUACAAUGUCUUCAACUUCCAAGAAGGUAAUUUUUUUAAAUUUUAUUUUUUGUUUAGUUUCUUUCUGUUGCCUUUUUGUUUCGUUUUUUGAAUUUUCUGUGUCGUUUUUUUUUUCCCAAGGUUUUGGUGCCUGUUGCGAACGGGAGUGAGCCGAUUGAAGCCGUGAUAACGAUCGAUGUUUUGAGAAGGUCUGGAGCUGACGUCACGGUUGCGUCUGUGGAUAAACAGCUUCGUGUCGACGCGUGUCAUGGUGUCAAGAUUGUCGCUGAUGCUCUCGUGUCUGACUGCCGCGACGCUGUUUCUGAUCUUAUAGCUCUGCCCGUAUGUAUUGCAGCUCACCUCAGCUCAUGCUAAUUUAUGUGAUGUUUGUAUAAUUAUAGAUGAUUACUGCUGAUACUGAAUGUUAAAGCUAAAUAAUUCGUUCUUAAGUCAUCUUCAUUUAAUUUUCGAUUGAAAAUGAAAAAAAAAAUAAUUUUAAGCAAAGAAAAUGUUUAUUUUGUUUUAUUUUUAUUUUUAAAUUUUUGGGAUUUCCUUAUUGUGACUGUUGUCAUUCAUUAUAUGGUCCUAGUUAAAUGUUUCAAGUUGUUGUAGUCUGUGAAACUCUUUUCGAUAUUUGUUCUGGCAUGUACAUUUUUCCUUUCAAUUUAUUUUGUUGCUGAUACUUUGAUUAUGAUAUAUCCUUUUUUGUUUCCCUUGUAGGGUGGCAUGCCCGGUGCUACCAAUCUGAAAGAAUCUGAAGUAUUAGAAACCAUUGUGAAGAAGCAGGCUUCAGCUGGGCGUCUUUAUGCUGCUGUCUGUGCUUCACCUGCUGUGGCAUUAGGGUCUUGGGGUCUGUUGAAGGGAUUGAAGGUAAGAAUUAGAUAAGCCUUUUUUUAUGUUUGGUGUUCUUUUGGGAAUUGCAUUGAUAUUUGUGUUAUACAUCAGUUUUGCUCUCACCGAUGAUUGUUAAGUUCUAAUUUAUGGGGUUAUUCAUUUUUUGUAGGCUACUUGUUACCCGUCAUUUAUGGAGCAAUUAGCUCCUGCUUGUGCAGCAACUGUUGAAUCAAGAGUACAGCAGGAUGGUAAAGUUGUUACGAGUCGUGGACCUGGCACUACUAUGGAGUUUGCCAUUGCACUUGUCGAGCAGUUGUAUGGGAAAGAGAGAGCUGAUGAAGUUUCUGGGCCACUGGUAGUAACUUUUAUAGAUAAUGUUGUUUAAAAAAAUUGUGAGUUAUAUAAUUUGUGGAAAUUCAUUCUAAUAGGUUCAUCUAGUAUGUCAAAUUGGAAGGUUCAGAUGCUAAUAUAUUCCAAAAAAUUUGUUCAGGGGAAAAGUAUGACUUUUUGCAUUAGAGAUUCAUUAGAUGAAGUUGUAUACCUGCUGGCCCAUCUUAAUGUGGUGAAAACGAUGUCUGAUGAGACUGAUAUAAUUAUUGGAAUCUUGAUAAAUGCAUUUGUUGAGCUUGAAUGUCUCCACUGAUCACGUUCUUUUUAAUGUAAGUUCUUUCUCUUGGUAUUUGUCUUUGAAUCUUCUCUUCCUCAUGCUUUCGUCUUCACUGUCACCUUGUGCCUAGGUAAUGCGUGCAAAUCAUGGAGAUGAAUACACUAUUGCUGAAUUCAAUCCAAUUCAGUGGACAUUUGACAAUUCUCCCCAAGUAAGAUUUGACUUCUAGUUUCUUGUAGUUGUUUUUCUUCAUCCGAUGUUUUCAGGGAUACCCAUUUGGCAGUAUAUAAAAGUCUGUGAUAUCUUCUAUACAUAUACAUCAUUGGCUUCAGUCAUUUUCGAACAUAUUGGAGGUAGUAGAUGUAUUUUUAUGAUAUCUCUAAUAAAAUCCCAAGUUUGAUCAAUUACAAAAGAAGUAUGAGCGGUGCUGGACCGGGGGGGAAGAAGAAGUGGGGGGUCGGUGUGGUGGGGGUGUGCAGUGCAUGAAUAAAAGGAAAUGAUAGGGGGUGAAAGUUUGUGCUACCGACAUGCUGUAAAAUGGGGACAUAAUAUUUCAAAUUAGAUAUUGUGUGAUCCUUAAUAUUGCUGACUUUUGCUUAAAAUGGAAUUCUUGAUAACUUCAAAUGUUAAAGUUCUUGGUGAAAUUUUGUACUUUCUUUUCUUUCAGAUUCUUGUGCCUAUUGCAAAUGGUUCAGAGGAGAUGGAAGCUGUUAUGAUAAUUGAUAUUCUGCGACGAGCUAAAGCAAAUGUUGUAGUUGCAUCAGUUGAGGAUAAACCAGAAAUUCUGGCUUCUCGUCAAAUUAAAUUAGUGGCAGAUGUGCUCAUUGAUGAGGCGGCUAAACUCUCGUAUGAUUUAAUUGUCUUGCCAGUGAGUUGGGGUGCUUACUGUUGCUUCAUAGUCUUUACCACAUAAUUGACUUACUAACUACAAUUUAUCCAUGCACAUUGCAUAGGGUGGACUUGGUGGCGCUCAAGCAUUUGCGAAGUCAGAGAAAUUGGUGAAUAUGCUAAAGAAGCAAAAGGAAUCAAAUAGACCUUACGGUGCUAUAUGUGCAUCCCCAGCUUUAGUGUUGGAGCCCCAUGGCUUACUCAAGGUACGACCAUUUCUGCUUAAAUUAUUUACUCAGAUUUGGAUCACCUAAUCUGAACUUGAUGAAGGAUUAUGAUGUUGUGUGAUUUUAUGAAUGUGGUCUUAUCUCAUGUAAGUCGGUGAUGAAUUAAUUGAAGUUUGCUGACAAAUUAGAAACUGAAAAACUGCUGCUGCUUCGUUAGUUACAUUACCCAAAGAGUUAAAAUAAACAUCCCAAAUUUUUUGUCCCAAAUUCUGUCCCAAAUGAUAUGGCAUUUAUUGAGUGAUUGUAUUAUCUAACCAACCAAUUGAUGAAUGACACAUCAUUUGAGAUGGUUUUUUGGGAUAAAGAAUUUGGGAUUUUUACCCGCAAAAAUCCCAAGUACUUCCUGCUCCUGCAAUAUCAUUGCUGUGUAUUUGUUUUCCCCUUAGACAUAUUCAAUUGUGGUUCAGGGUAAAAAAGCUACAGCUUUUCCUGUUAUGUGCAACAAGCUGUCAGAUCAGAGUGAAAUCGAAAACAGGGUUGUGGUUGAUGGCAACCUCAUCACCAGUAGAGGGCCAGGAACUUCUAUGGAGUUUGCACUGGCAAUUGUGGAGAAGUUUUUUGGCCGCAACAAGGCACUUGAGCUUGCAAAGAUAAUGCUUUUCACUCGCACCUAACAUUUGUACGGGGACCUGACUACUAUUAAACUAGUGUGUUUAUUUCUGUAUUGCUACUGCUUGUAGAGAGGGGAAAUGGAAACUUGAAUUCAUGUUUGAAUAUGGAUUCACUGUGUGGGUUUGUACAGCAGUUUGAUUUAUAAAUAAAUGAGUUCAAAGAGUUACUUCAAAUAUUCGGAAUAAACCUGAGUUUAGUUCUGUUAUCAAUGGUCGGAGUCCAAUUGCGAUCGACACACUGGGAAUUUUAAUUAUGAACUAAAAAAUUGUUAUGUUAUAUUCCACCUUUCUCAUAAAAUGUUAACUCGAUUUACAGGAUAAGAAGGAAAAGAAAGACGCUAAGAGAGGAGCAGAGACCCAAAAAGAGUUGACCACUUUGUUGGAACAUAAACCUCUAGAAUAUUGAAAUAAAACACAUACCAUAUCUAGUAUUAAGUAUGUAUAUGCAAGAAGAUACAAAUUUGAAGAUCAGAUUUCUCAUUUCAAUUUAUGUUCUGCUUAGAGCAAUGGCUCUUAUUCCACAAGCACAAACAGGAAAGAGUACGCACGAAGUUAAGAAACACACAUUGCAAAAGUUGCAUUAACUACUUGCAGCAGCAUCAUCCAAGAACUUGACUUUAAUCUUCUUGAGCUUCGCUGCGGCAUCUGUCAUAUGCAUUCUCUUGUCAGGUGACUCUAUACAACAAUCCAAAGCCAAAUCCAUGAUGCUUAAUAAACAAUCCAUUUUGGCAGAAAAAGCUUGCUCUUCUCGCACCAAAUUUGCGUCAACAACUUCAGUCAAUCCGUGAGGUAAAGACUCCUUUACCCAUCUCCUUAAACUCAUUUCUCCUGCGAACAUUUCAUCGGUGGGCCUCUUUCUCGUGAAGGUUUCCAUCAAUAAAACACCAUAGCUGUAGACAUCACAUUUAGCUGAAACAAUUCCUUCUGAUCCAUACUCUGCAUUUUUUAAUUUUAAUUAUGAAACAAAUGAUAAAACAAAUAAUUUUUUGAUAAUUAAGGUAACCCAAACUUUGCUCGUGCUUGAAAAAAGAGUAAAAAUUUUAAUUACAAUUGAAACUUUACCUGGUGCCAUAUAACCAAUUGUAGCCAUUGUCAUGGUUUGUGUCACAGAAUCUUCUCCUUCACCUAAGAGUUUGGAAAUGCCGAAGUCGCUCACAUGUGCCACCAUAUUUUCAUCCAAGAGAAUGUUGGUGGGCUUCAAAUCACAAUGAAUUAUAGGUGCCGACGAAUGACCAUGAUGGAGAUAUUCAAGGGCCGACCCCACAUCUAUCAUUAUGUUCAACCUCUCUAGGAUGUCUAAGAAAUAGUUGUGAGAAUAUAACCACUUCUCGAGACUACCAUUUGGCAUGAACUCAAGUACCAAUGCUUUAAAAUCUUGAUUAGAACAACUGCUAAGGAUCUUUAUGAGAUUUCGAUGACGAACAUUCAGUAAAACUUCACAUUCAGAAUCAAAACUCCUAAAUGCUCUCUCUAGUUGCAGAUUGAAAACCUUUAUCGCAACAUCAGUCCCGUCGGAAAUGGUUCCUUUAUAAACUGAUCCAAAGCUACCUGUACCAAGCAAGUUACAUUCAUUAAAUUCAUCAGUUGCUCGUUGAAUGUCUAGGUAGGAUGUUCUUCUCCAUGUUGCAAGAGGUAGGAAAUCUUCGUGAUCUGAUUUUUUUGUACUCCUCUUUCGGCAUCUUAUGUACAUAAUGAUGAUAAUCACUAUAAGUACAGAGGAUACUAUCGGAGGCAAAAUAUAUUUAAGGACAAUUAGAGCAACGUUUUUGGUGCUUUUGCUGUCACCUUGUUUGCAAGGUGGGACUCGGAAUUUAGGUGGACCACAGAGUGCAUAAUUUCCGAAAAAUGAUUCAGCUGACAAGUUUUUAAAAGACCCCUUAACAGGAAUUUCCCCUUCUAGCCUAUUAUGAGACACAUUAAAUUGUUUGAGAUGUGAAAGUGUCUCCAAUGACUUAGGAAUUUUUCCAGAGAGAUUGUUGCCAGAGAGAUCUAAGGAUUCUAAGCUUAUCAAACUACCAACUGAUUCAGGAAUAGGUCCUUGAAAUUGAUUACUAGCCAAUGAUAGAGUUUCUAUAUCUUUGAGGGCACCGAUGGUUGAUGGAAUAUCACCUGAUAAUUGAUUCCUUGAUAAAUCUAAAACUCUCAAGACCUUUAACUUUUGUACAUUGGAAGGGAGAGAAUCAUUUAACGAAUUUGACGACAAGUUUAUCUCUAAGAUGUACUCAAGGCUCCACAAGGAUGACGGUAUACUAGAAGUGAGCUUGUUGGAGCCUAAGUGGAGUUCUCUUAGAGAUGUCAGACUCGCCAAGCAUGGUGGUAUAUGUCCAGAGAGCUUAUUUCCAUUUAACAUUAUUCCGUACAUCAACUCCAAGUGGCAAAGAUCAUAGGGAAUGGAUCCUUCCAAAUUAUUUUCUUCAAGAGAUAAACCUUGUAGCCGCUUAAGUCUUCCCAUCGUUGGUGAAAUAGUUCCAUUCAAGUCAUUGAAGCCGAGGCUUAAGAGGAUCAGGCCACGCAACUUACCAAUUUCUUUAGGAAUGCUGCCCCCGAGUUUGCAGUUGGAUGCAUAAAAUUGUCGAAGAGAAGCAGAGAAAUUUCCAAUUACUGGUGGAAGGAUGCCACCCAAUGGAUUAUAAGCUAAGGCUAAAACUGUUAAAUUUCUGCAAUUAGUCAGAGAAGAGAGAAAACUCCACUGAUCUGCUGAAGAUGAUUCUGUCGUCAAGUUAUUAAAUGCUAAGCCAAGCACGCCGAGGUGUCUCAAGUUGCCAAAUGUAUUUGGAAUAUGGCCUGAGAAUGAGUUAAAGCUCAAUUCUAGGCCAAUGAGUUUAGAAGCGUUUGUGAUGGAGUUGGGAAUUUUUCCGGUAAGGUUAUUGGCCGCCAAGGUUAAAUACUCUAUGCUCGGAAGCGAGUGGCCAAUCGUUGAUGGUAAGUGGCCUGAAAGUUGAUUGCUAAUUAGAUUAAGGACUGUUAGGGUUGAAAUGUUGAAGAUUGUGGGUGGAAUGGGGCCACUUAAAUUAUUCGCACUAAGAACAAGGGUAUCCAAAUUUUGUAGAUUGCCAAUCUCAGUUGGAAUUUGACCUGUCAUAAAGAUAAACGCCAAAUUGAUGAGUUAUUGAGCUUUUUACUUAACAUAAAUUUUAAUUUCAUAACGCAUGAAAAUCAAAUUUGCCCACAAAAUGUGUGUUAUUAGUUUUAUAAUUUUUUUUUGGGUUUUUUUUGGGGGGGGGGGGGGGGAGAUUGAUAUUGCUACCUCAUAAUUUUUGUAAAACCCCACCCGCUUUCAGAGAAUUAUUGGAACAAGAUUCUUAAAAAAAUUCAAAUAAAGAAGAAGUUUGGAGAAAUAAUCAAUUAAAUCCAUCUUAAUAUACUUUUUGAAACUUAUAUUCUUUUAUCAUAUAUAAUAACUAAGGUUGCUUUAACAUAAAUUUAAUAUAACUAGUCUACUCUCAUAAGGUAGAAUUACUAAAAUACCCACAAAUUUACUUCAACUUCAACUAAACUAACAAAAUGUAUUUGUUGACAUGUGGGGAACUAAAAAUUAUUGAAUUUUAUUUUAGAAAUAUUGUAUUACAAAACAUAAAACAAAAUGCCGAAACUAUAUAUUAGAUACAAUAGUACAUGUUUUUCGGGGUAAUUUGGUCAUUUUAUAUUAUAAGAGUAAAAUAGUCAAAUUAAACUUAUUUUAAAGCAACCGUAAACGGUCAAAGAUUGUUAAAAGCCCUAAGUCAUAAAAGAAAAACAUUAUAAAAAUAAUUUAUUAAUUGUUCAGACUUAAUUUAUAAUUUUAUAACAUAAUGUGAACUUAUUAUAACUAUCUUUUCAAAAUGAGGUGGGUUUGCAAGAAUAAUGAGUGGAAAUAUCCCCACCCUAUAAAAUAAAAAGAAUUUUGCAGCUAUGCAAAUGCAAAUAUGUAGAACGUACCUUGUAGGUUGUUAUAACCUAGAUUCAGAAUGAAAAGGCUGCUAAAAUUUCCUAUCCCUGAAGGAAUAUUUCCAUCAAUAACGUUGUAGAUUGCGUCGAACACCUCCAGCUUCGAUAAAUUGAGGAGAGAAUUUGGGAUUGGACCCGUGAAACUGUUAUUAUAAAGCCUCAACGUUUGUAAUUUGGAUAAGACACCAAUCCAUGUUGGAAUGCUUCCACUCAAUUUAUUGAAACCGAAUCUAAUGAAUCUGAGUCGGCGUAAUUGCCCCAAUUCAUUAGGCAGAUGGCCAUGAAAAUUAUUAUGAGCAACAUCAAGAGAUACUAAGAACGUGAGAUUUCCCAAGUGUAGUGGAAUGGUGCCUCCGAGACCCAUAUCUGAAAGAUUCAAGGCAGUGACUCUUUGAUGGCGUGAACCACAAGAGAUACCAACCCAGCUACAUAUUGGAUAAGAUAUAGACCAAUUAUUUGUCAGAUCACUUCGAUAAUCAACGACACGGGCUUUGAAUGCAAGAAGAGCCGAUUGAUCUGUUGUUAAGUUGCUCAAAGUCGUCAUAGCUAAGCUAGCUAUGGAAUAUUGUACCAACAACAUAGGAACAAAGAAGAAUGAUAAGCACAUAUUGGUCGUUUUUUUUUAUAGAUGCAGCAAUCUAAUUGCUAGGUGAAGUUGAUACAAGUUUUAAGUGAAGGAAACUAGCAUAUACUUAUACAAGAGACGUAUGAAUUUGAAAACAAGAAAAGAAAAAAAUGUACAGGAGAGUGGAGACAUGCAAAUUGGUAUAUUUCAUCAUUGAGCGAGUCGUCCAAGUAAACUCAUACAGACCUGUAAAUUGUUAUAGGCCGCGGUACUUGAACCGUGAAUAAAGGGCUUAUGGCACUUGACUUACCAAAAAGAAGAAGAUGCUCAACAUUGGCAAGGCCUAUGCAUUCUGUCCAUUUGUUCACGUUUUGCCAAGGCUCAGGGCAACCACAAUAUGUUCUUUUUCUUCCCUCUUAAAACAAAAAACAAAAAAAAAAGACGACAUUUACAUUUGGGCUAAUAAUUAUAACUAAACAAUUAAUAAUACUGAGGGUCAGUGGUAAUGUAGCUUUAAAAUAAUUGUUAUUAGUUGUGUCUUAAAAAUAAAGAAAAAAAAUAACUAUACCCAUAUAAUUAAUAAAAUAAUCAUGUAAAUUCCUAAGCUUUUAACAAUAUACACCAAGACCCCCUACCGUUACUUUUUACCAUUUAUUUGGAUGUCACAUGCUUUUUUUUUUUAAUUUUCACAGUGGAUAUCAAAUGCUAAAUUUACUGUUAUUCCCAUAUCAUGUCAUCACUUGCUUCUACACACAUUGAUUGUUUUUCCAAAGUUUCAAAUUGAAUUAAAAACAUUCUAAUUAACCUAAAAAAAACUCAUCCAACCAGAUAUAAAUCAUCUAAUUAACCUAAAGAUAGCUACACCCCCAUAUUAAUUCCAAUUAAAUAAAAUUCAUUUUUGUCAUGAUUUUGGAUCUCGAGCAGGGUGGAUAUAUCCAACUAGAUCCGCCCCAUUGGCAUUCCAGUAUAUUCUGUAAUUGGAAGAGUAUGAAUGACUUAAUUUGUAAUUUUAAAUUUGUAACGUUCAAUUCUAAUUUGAGGAUUCAAAUGAAUUUAUGCGAAUCUAAAAGGGGACUGAAGAUUGGCAUGCAUACAUGCAUACAUAUACAUAUAUAUAUAAAUAGAGAGAGAGAGAGAGAGAGAGAGAGAGAGAGGUAAUAUAACAUUCUUCUUGAUGAAGAUUUUUGUGCCAUACGAAUUAAAGAGAGUAUUGUGUCGAUGUUCGAGGCUAGAGCGACAAUUGGUUACAUUGCUUCAGAGGUGUUUAGUAGAAACUUUGGUGAGGCAUCACAUAAUUUAAAUUACUAGAUUUAGCGAGAUAUAUAUAUUUUCCACAUUGGAUUUACAAGCAUUUCGAGCAGUAUAAUGAAUUAAAAUUACUCGGAAUUGUAAACAGCGAGGAAAGUGAAAUUGCUAAGAAGAUGAAUAUUUUGUUGUUUUGUGGUGUACACGGACUCGUCCAUCGGAUAGGUCGCCCAUGAACAGAGGGAUAGAAAUGUUAUUGCCAAGAAGCAGACUGACUAGCAGUGACGCUUUGAAAAGUCCACCGGACAUCGUCUCCUCCAAGACCACCAAUAGAUUCUUCCACCAUUUCAACGUCGUGACGUGGGGAUCGGAAUUGAAUUAUAGGAUGCUUGUAAGUUUCCUUUGUGGAACUUGUGAAUUUGUGAUGGCAAAAGUCAAUGAUGCAUGUAACUAGCUAGCCCGUGUAGACUCCGUUUUACACUUUUUCAAAACCCAAAAGCACGCUAAAUCUUAAUCUUAAAAGAAUUUUUGAUUCAGUGCUGAAUUUUGGGCUUAUCUUUAAGUAAUCUUUUACCACGCAUGCAUUUUUGUCAUUGUGCAGUCAUCGAUUGCUUCUAAAGAUCGUAAUCCUUAAGAAAAAAUUACUUCUCUUGAAAGUGAAAGCAGGGCAGCUAUUGGCGUAUUGCAUUGCAGCUGCUAUGUGUAGUAGUCAAUUCUUGGAAACAACUAGUUUUCUUAAAUUGUAAACGGUCCCCUUUAUGACUGGGAGAUUUUGAACAAAAUUAAUAUGACGAAUUCUUUGCAGGUGUUGUUCCUUGAAGUCUCAUCUUUCACAAUGUUUCUGAAAUAAAGAUAUUACCAUCUCUGAUUUAAUAUUUAUUCUUGAUUUGUACCACCUAAUCUGAACUUGAUGAAAGAAUAAAGAUUAUGAUCUUGCCUGAUUUUAUUAAUGUGGUCUUAUCUCACGUAAGUCAGUAAUGAAUUAAGGAAAAUUAUCAUUCGUAUACCCUAUAAUUGCUCUGUUAUAAAAAAUACUACAACACUUUGAGGGUGUAUCAAUUGUCCACCCUAAGUUAACAAAAUGUAUCUGUCAUCCACCAAACCGUUAUUUGCCGUUUAAAUAGAAUGACACCAGAGGGGUAAUUUUAUCUUUUCAUAUGAUACAAGUGAUAAUUUAAGGGUAUACAAGUGAUAAUAAAAGAAUUUAAAGGUAUACAAGUGAUAAUUUUAUUUACUUUAAUUUAAGUUUCAAGGGUAAAAUCGUCAAUUCACUAUAAUUCCGUUAACUUUCAAACGGUAGCUAACGGUUUGGUGGUCGGCAGAUAGCUUUUGUUAAUUUAAGGUGGACGAUUGAUAUACUCUCAAAGUGUUGUAGUAUUUUUGAUAAUAGAGCAACUAUAGGAUAUAUGAUUGAUAAUUUCCCAUGAAUUAAUUAAAGUUUACUGUCAAAUUACAAACACAAAAACUGCUGCUGCUUCAUUAUUCACAAUACCUAAAGUCAGUGCAGAACUUAAUAAGUUUUCCAAAAGUUUUACGCUUUCUUUCCCCCAAAUCCCAAGUACUUACUAGAUAUGUCAUGUUUAUACCCAAAGUCAGUGCAGAACUUACUCGAUAUGUCAUGUUUACACAAGAGUUUGUUUAUAAAUAAAUGAGUUGACAAAUAUUUGCCAAAAAAAACGGUGAGUGAUGUCUAGUUCUAUUUUCACAGUUCAGAGUCCAAUUUUGAUUACUGGAAAUUUUAAUUAUGAAGUUGAACUAAGAAUUUGUUAUAAUAUCUUCAACCUUCCUAUACAGUCAUCUGGAAUAAUAAUAUAUCAAAAACAGUAAUAACUCGAUUUACAGGGUGAGAAAGAAAAGAAAGACGCUACGAGGGAAGCAGAGAUUCAAAGACUUCGCCACUUUGUUGGAGGAACAAUUUCAUAAAUCUCCAGAAUAUUGACAUAAAACACAUAACAUACAUAUCUAGCAUUAAGUAUAUUUAUGUAUGUCCAAAGAUAAAAAUUUGAAGAUUAAAUUUAUCAUUUCAAUUUAUGUUCUGCCCAAAGCAAUGGCUUUUAUUCCACAAGCACAAACAAGAAAGAGUACGCACAAAGUUAACAAACACACAUAGCAAACGUGACAUCAACCACUUGCAGCAGCAUCAUCCAGAAACUUCACUCUAAUCUUCUUGAGCUUUUCAGCGGCGUCUUUCGUAGAUGCCCCCUGUUCUGGUGAUUCCAUGCAACAAUCCAAUGCCGAAUGCAUGAUGCUUAAUAAACAAUUCAUUUUAGGAGAAAAAACUUGCUCUUCUCUCACCAAGUUUGCAUCGACAACAUCACUCAAGGCACGAGGUAAUGACUCCCUUACCCAGUCUCUUAAACUUAUUUCUCCUGUAAACAUUUCAUUUGUGGGAUUCUUUCUGGUGAAAGUUUCCAUCAAUAAAACACCAUAACAAUAGACAUCACCUUUGGCCGAAAUCAUUCCUUCUAAUCCUUACUCUGCAUUUUUUUGGUUUCGAUAGAUCAAAUGGAUGUGACAUCAUAAAACAAAUGAUAAACAAAUAGUCUUUUGACAGUCAAGAUGGCCCAAACUUUGACUGUGCUUCGAAAAGAGCGAAAAUUUGAAAUUAUAAUUGAAACCUUACCUGGUGCCAUAUAACCAGUUGUAGCCACUGUCAUGAUUUGGGUCACAGAAUUUUCUUCAUCACCUAAGAGUUCGGAAAUGCCGAACUCACAUGUGCCACCAUAUUUUCAUCCAAGAGAAUGUUGCUAGGCUUCAAAUCACAAUGAAUUACAGGUGCUGAUGAAUGAUCGUGAUGGAGAUAUUCAAGUGCCAGCCGCACAUCUAUCAUUAUAUUCAACCUCUCUAGGAUAUCUAGGAAAUAGUUGUGUGAACACAACCAUUUCUCAAGACUACCAUUGAGCAUGAACUCAAGCACCAGUACUUUAGAAUCUGGAUUGCAACAGCUGCUAGUGAUCUUUGUGAGAUCUUGAUGACGAACAUUCCACAAUACUUCACAUUCAGAAUCAAAACUCCUAAAGGCUCUCUCUAGCUGCAGAUUGAAAACCUUUAUUACAAUAAUAGUCACAUCAUAAAGUGUGCCUUUAUAAACAGAUCCGAAGCUCUCCAUACCUAGCAGGAUACAUUCACUAAAUCCAUCAGCUGCUCGUUGAAUAUCAUGAUAGGAUAGUCUUCUCCAUGUUGUCGAAGAGAACAAAUCUUCUUUAUCUGGAGUUCUUGUUUUCCUAUUUUGAAAUAUUAUGAAGAAUCAUAACAAUUGUUAUUAGUGCAUUGGAUAUAAUCGAAGGCAAAGUAUAUUUCAGGACAAGCAGAGUAGCAUUCUUGGAUCCUUUGCUAUUAUCUUCUUUGCAAGGUGGGACUUGAAGGCCUGGUGGACCACAUAGUGCAUAAUUCUCAAAAAACGAUUGAGCUGAAAUGUUUUUAAAAGGUCCUUUGAUAGGAAUUCCCCCUUCUAGCCUAUUGUGAGACACAUUAAGUUGUUUGAGAUAUGAGAGUGCCUCCAUUGACUUUGGAAUUUCUCCAGAGAGAUUGUUGCUAGGGAGAUCCAAAGAUUCCAACCUUAUCAAACUACCAAAUGAUUUAGGGACCAGACCAUAAAAUUGGUUUCUAGCCAAGGACAAAGUUGCUAGAUCUUUGAGGCCACCAAUACUUACUGGUAUAUCACCUGAUAAUUGAUUUCUUGAUAAAUCAACUCUAUUAAGACCUUUAAGUUUUGUACAUCUGAAGAUAGAUGACCACUUAGAGAAUUUGUUGACAAGUUUACAUACAAGAUGUACUCAAGAUUCCACAAGGAUGAUGGGAUACUAGAAGUGAGCGUGUUGCAGCUUACAAAGAGUGUUUUUAAGGAAUUGAAUAUCUGAAAUCUUGUAUGUAAAUAUUAACACUUAGAGAAUUUGUUGACAAGUUUUUAAGGAUUUACUGAUUAAAUAAUUUUCCAAUUUGUUUGCCUGGAGGAAUUGAAUAGUUAACUGAUUAAAGGAUUUCAAGGUGGUUAGGUCCAGCCGAGCAUUGUAAAUAUUAACGGUCAUUAUGAAUGUGUAAUUCCUAUAUGUGAAAUUGAAUUUCCAUGGUAAAUUUCUGCUAGGGUGUGAUUGUAUGGUAGCCAAUUGUGAGCAACAGAUCCACAUAGUAAUAUAGACUGAAAUUUUGCGUCUUAAGCCAUGAAGAUAUAGAUUUUGGCAAAUAUUAUACAAGCAUUGUUUGCAACACCACAGCUAAUUUGCAGUAGGAUGAAACACUCAGAAUUUUGCCUUUUUCAUGUAUAAAAUUUUAUUUUUUUAAUUGUGAUAUUACAGUUUUGCCCAUCAAGCAUUAUGAAGCUUAAUAUUUGGAUAAAUGUUAGGUUUAAUCUAUAAAUUUUAACUUCAGUGUUUAUUUAGUUUUUAUAUUUUGUAAAAUAUCUCAAGGCAGCCCUAUUAUCAAAUAUUGGCUUGAUCCGUAUAUAUUAACUUCAGUGCUUUAUUUAGGUUUUAUAUUUUGAAAAAUACUUUAAGGCAGUUCUAUUAUCAAAUAUGUUAUGCUCUUGCUUUUAUUUUUUCUUUGUUUUUAUAAUAAUACUCUGAUAACAAUAUUUUUUUACAUUAAUUUUUUAAUCAAUAAAAAGGUAACUAGCAAAUUAACUGAUAAAUUAAUUUGUUAAUUUUUUUAAUCAAUAAAAAAUUUAAUUAAUAAAUUACUUGGUAGCAAAUUAAAAAAUAAAUAUUAGCAUAAAACAAUUGAUAUUUUUCAUUCUCUUACAACAAUCUUACUAAUAAUUUUUUUAUAAAAAAUUAAUUUAUUAAAUUAAUCCUUAAAAGUAAAAUAAUAAUAAUUAAUUUGUAUCUUAGUUUUAAAGUUAAUUUGAUAAAUUCAAUUUUUUAAUUAAUAUCUCCAAAAAUAUAGUUGCAACGAUAUUAUUGCAAAAGUAAAAAAAAAAAUAUAUAUAGAAUUUUAAUAUAACUGCCAGUAAAAAUAACUUGAAAUAUUUUUUAAGAUAUAAAAAUUAAACCAACACUUAAUUAAAAAUAUAAAGAAUUAAAUAAACAUUUAUCUUCUAACAUUUCAACCUACUGGCUAAUGGUCAUACAAUCGUGGUGUGGUCCGGGAUGCCCGGCCCAGCCCAUCAUGCAAAAAGCCAUGUCACCCAUAUUCUUAGGCUGCUACUGCAUUAAAAAAAUGAUAUUAAUAAGCGUACGCCACGUCACUCCUCACUCUCUUCUUCGUCACUUUCCUCUCACUCAACAUUUUCUCCCCAAACAAAUUCCUUCUUUGAAAAAUCGCAUUUUCUCCUUCACAGCAACAGCUACAAUGUCUUCAACUUCCAAAAAGGUGAUUUUUUUUUAAUUUUAUUUUUUGUUUAGUUUCUUUCUGUUGCCUUUUUGUUUCGUUUUUUGAAUUUUCUGUGUCGUUUUUUUCCCCCAAGGUUUUGGUGCCUGUUGCGAACGGGAGUGAGCCGAUUGAGUCCGUGAUAACGAUCGAUGUUUUGAGAAGGUCUGGAGCUGACGUCACGGUUGCGUCUGUGGAGAAACAGCUCCGUGUCGACGCGUGUCAUGGUGUCAAGAUUGUCGCUGAUGCUCUCGUGUCUGACUGCCGCGACGCCGUUUUUGAUCUUAUAGCUCUUCCCGUAUGUAUUGCAGCUCUCCUCAGCUCGUGCUAAUUUAUGUGAUGUUUGUAUAAUUAUAGAUGAUUACUGCUGAUACUGAAUGUUAAGCUAAAUAAUUCGUUCUUAAGUCAUCUUCAUUUAAUUUUCGAUUGAAAAUGAAAAAAAUAAUAAUUUUAAGCAAAGAAAAAUAUAGAAAAUGUUUAUUUUGUUUAAUUUUCAAUUUUUAAUUUUCAGGGAUUUCAUUAUUGUGACUGUUAUCAUUCAUUAUAUGGUCAUAGUUAAAUGUUUCAAAUUGUUGUAGUCAGUGAAAUUCUUUUCGAUAUUUAUUCUGGCAUGUAUAUUUUUCCUUUUCAAUUUCUUUUGUUGCUGAUUCUUUGAUUAUGUUAUAUCCUUUUUUGUUUCCCUUGUAGGGUGGCAUGCCCGGUGCUACCAAUCUGAAGGAAUCUGAAGUAUUAGAAAGCAUUGUGAAGAAGCAGGCCUCAGCUGGGCGUCUUUAUGCUGCUGUCUGUGCUUCACCUGCUGUGGCAUUAGGGUCUUGGGGUCUGUUGAAGGGAUUGAAGGUAAGAGUUAGAUAAGCCUUUUUGAUGUUUUGUGGUCUUUUGGGAAUUGCACUGAUAUUUUUGUUAUGGUUCAGUUUUCUUCUCGCUGAUGAUUGUUAAGUUCUAAUUUAUGUAGUUGUUCAUUUUUCCUAGGCUACUUGUUAUCCGUCAUUUAUGGAGCAACUAGCUCCUGCUUGUGCAGCAUGUUGAAUCAAGAGUACAGCAGGAUGGUAAAGUUGUUACGAGUCGUGGACCGGGCACUACCAUGGAGUUUGCCGUUGCACUUGUUGAGCAGUUGUAUGGGAAAGAGAAAGCUGAUGAAGUUUCUGGGCCACUGGUAUUAGCUUUUAUAGAUAACGUUGUUUAAAAAAAUUAUGAGUUAUAUAAUUUGUGGAAGCUUCAGAUGCUAAUGUAUUCAAGAAAAUAAGUUCAGGGGAAGAGUAUGACUUUUUGCAUUAGUGAUUCAUUAGAUGAAAUUGUAUACCUGCUGGUCCAUCAUAAGGUGGUGAAAACAAUGUUUGAUUUAAUUAAUGAAAUCCUGAAAUAUGCAUUUGUUGAGCUUCAAUGUCUCCACUGAUAAAAUUCUUUUUAAUGUAAGUUCUUUCUCUUGGUAUUGUAUUUGAAUUUUCUGUUCCUCAUGCUUUCGUCUUUACUGUCACCUUGUGCCUAGGUAAUGCGUGCAAAUCAUGGAGAUGAAUACACUAUUGCUGAGUUCAAUCCAAUUCAGUGGACAUUUGACAAUUCUCCUCAGGUGAGAUUGGACUGUUAGUUUCUUGUAUUUGUUUUUCUUCUUCCAUGUUUUGAGGGAUACCCAUUUGGCAGUAAAUAAAAAUCUGUGAUAUCUUCUAUACAUGUACAUAUACAUCAUUGACUUCACUCAUUUGUGAACAUAUUGGAGGUAGUAGAUUUAUUGUUAUGAUAUGUCUAAUAAAAUCCAAAGUUCGAUGCAACUACAAAAGAAGUAUGAGCAGUGCUCGACCAGAGAGGAAAAAGGUGGUUUUUUUCUUUUUUUUUUUUGGGGGGGGGGGGGGGGUUGGUUGGGUGGCAAAGGGAAUGAUAAGUUCAGGGUAUCAACAAGCUGUAAAAUGGCUAUCGAAAAACUGAUAUUUCACAUUAGAGAAUGUGAGGACCUGAAGAUUGCUGACUUGUGGUCAAAAUGGAAUUCUUGAUAACUUUAAAUGUUAAAAAUUCUUGGUGAAAAUUUUGUACUUUUUUUUCUUUCAGAUUCUUGUGCCUAUUGCGAAUGGUUCAGAGGAGAUGGAAGCUGUUAUAAUAAUUGAUAUUCUGCGACGAGCUAAAGCAAAUGUUGUGGUUGCGUCAGUUGAGGAUAAACUAGAAAUUCUGGCUUCUCGUCAAGUUAAAUUAGUGGCAGAUAUGCUUAUUGAUGAGGCAGCUAAACUUUCGUAUGAUUUGAUUGUCUUGCCAGUAAGUGGGGUUGCUAACUCUUGCCUCAUAGUCUUUACCAAAUUAUUGACUUACUAGCUACAAUUUAUCUAUGCACAGGGUGGACUUGGUGGUGCUCAAGCAUUUGCGAAGUCAGAAAAAUUGGUAAAUAUGCUAAAGAAGCAAAAGGAAUCAAAUAGACCUUACGGUGCUAUAUGUGCAUCCCCAGCACUAGUGUUGGAGCCCCAUGGCUUACUCAAGGUAUGACCAUUUCUGCUUAAAUAUUUAUUCUUGAUUUGAAUCACCUAAUCUGAACUUGAUAAAACAUUGUGAUCUUGUGUGAUUUUAUGAACGUGGUCUUAUCUCAUGUAAGUCUGUAAUGAAUUUAUUGAAGUUUGCUGACAAAUUACAAACUCAAAAACUGCUGCUGCUUCAUUAGUUACAGUACCCAAGGAGUUAUGAUAGACAUCCCAAACUUUUUACCCCAAAUUCCCUCUCAAAUGACAUGGUAGUUAUUAAGUGGUUGGUAAUUUUUUAUAAGAUAUAAGUGAAUUAAUUAAUUAUAUUAUUUAAUCAACCAAUUGAUGAAUGUCACGCCAUUUGAGAUGAAUUUUUGGGAUGUGUAGCAAAACUUUAUGCUGAUUUGUUUUGGCUACAUUCAUGUAAAACAUUUUUCCCCAAAUCCCAAGAACUUCCCGCAAUAUCAUUCCUUUGUAUUUGUUUUCCCCUUUAGACAUGUUUAACUUUGGUUCAGGGUAAAAAGGCUACGGCUUUUCCUGCCAUGUGCAACAAGCUAUCAGAUCAAAGUGAAAUCGAAAACAGGGUUGUGGUUGAUGGCAACCUUAUCACCAGCAGAGGGCCAGGAACUUCCAUGGAGUUUGCACUGGCAAUUGUGGAGAAGUUUUUUGGCCGCAACAAAGCACUUGAGCUUGCAAAGAUAUUGCUUUUCACCCGCACCUAAAAUUUGUACCAGGACCCGACUAAUAUUAAACUAGAGUGUUUAUUUCUGUAUUACUACUGCUUGUAGAGAGGCGAAAUGGAAACUUGAAUUCAUGUUUGAAUAGGGAUUCACUGUGCGGGUUUGUACAAGAGCUUGUUUAUAAAUAAAUGAGUUCAUAAAGAGUCAUUUUAAAUAUUUGGAAUAAACGUGAGUUGCUGUUUAGUUCUGUUUUCAAUGUUCACCGUUCAAUUGUGAUCCAGAGCAAUAUAACUACACUCACUGGGAAUUUUAAUUAUGAACCAAGAACGAAGUUGAACCGAGAAUUUGAUACUUUAUAUAUUCCAGUUACCAUAUUUAAGAAAGAGUAUUGAAAAGAAAGACGCUAAGAGAGAAUAUUGAAGUUAAACAGAUACCAUAUCUAGUAUUAAGUCUGUAUGCCAAAGUUACAAAUUCGAAGAUCAGAUUCCUCAUUUCAAUUUAUGUUCUGCUCAAAACAAUGGCUCUUAUUCCACAAGCACAAACAAGAAAGAGUACGAACAAAGUUAACAGAGACACGCAGUGAAAAUUACGCUAAUUGGUUGCAGCAGCAUCAUCCAGGAACUUCACUUUAAUCCUCUUGAGCUUUGCUGCAGCGUCUGUCAUAUUUAUCCUCAUGUCGGGUGACUCCAUACAACAAUCCAAUGCCAAAUCCAUUAUGCUUAAUAUACAAUCCAUUUUGGCAGAAAAAGCUUGCUCUUCUCGCACCAAAUUUGCGUCAACAACUUCACUCAAUCCGUGAGGUAAUGACUCCUUUACCCAUGUCCUUAAACUCGUUUCUCCUGUGAACAUUUCAUCGGUGGGCCUCUUUCUCGUGAAAGUUUCCAUUAAUAAAACACCAUAGCUGUAGACAUCACAUUUAGCUGAAACAAUUCCUUCUGAUCCAUACUCUGCAUUUUUUUUAAUUUCAAUUAUGAAACAAAUGAUAAAACAAAUAAGUUUUUGAUAAUUAAGGUAACCCAAACUUUGCUCGUACUUGAAAAAAGAGUAAAAAUUUUAAUUACAAUUGAAACUUUACCUGGUGCCAUAUAACCAAUUGUAGCCAUUGUCAUGGUUUGUGUCACAGAAUCUUCUUCUUCACCUAAGAGUUUGGAAAUGCCGAAGUCGCUCACAUGUGCCACCAUAUUUUCAUCCAAGAGAAUGUUGGGAGGCUUCAAAUCACAAUGAAUUAUAGGUGCCGACGAAUGACCAUGAUGGAGAUAUUCAAGAGCCGACCCCACAUCUAUCAUUAUAUUCAACCUCUCUAGAAUGUCUAAGAAAUAGUUGUGAGAAUACAACCACUUCUCGAGACUACCAUUUGGCAUGAACUCAAGUACCAAUGCUUUAAAAUCUGGAUUAGAACAACUGCUAAGGAUCUUUAUGAGAUUUCGAUGACGAACAUUCUGUAAAACUUCACAUUCAGAAUCAAAACUCCUAAAUGCUCUCUCUAGUUGCAGAUUGAAAACCUUUAUCGCAACAUCAGUCCCGUCGGAAAUGGUUCCUUUAUAAACUGAUCCAAAGCUACCUGUACCAAGCAAGUUACAUUCAUUAAAUUCAUCAGUUGCUCGUUGAAUGUCUAGGUACGAUGUUCUUCUCCAUGUUGCAAGAGAUAGGAAAUCUUCGUGAUCUGAUUUUCUUGUACUUCUAUUUCGGCAUCUUCUGUACAUAAUGAUGGUAAUCACUAUAAGGACCGUGGAUACUAUCGGAGGCAAAAUAUAUUUAAGGACAAUUAGAGCAACUUUCUUGGUUCUUUUGCUGUUAUCUUGCUUGCAAGGUGGGACUCGAAGUUUAGGUGGACCACAGAGUGCAUAAUUUCCAAAAAAUGAUUCAGCUGACUAGUUUUUAAAAGACCCCUUAACAGGAAUUUCCCCUUCUAGCAUAUUUUGAGACACAUUAAAUUGUUUGAGAUGUGAAAGUGCCUCCAAUGACUUAGGAAUUUUUCCAGAGAAAUUGUUGCCGGAGAGAUCUAAGGAUUCUAAGCUUAUCAAACUGCCAACUGAUUCAGGGAUAGGUCCUUGAAAUUGAUUACUAGCCAAGGAUAGAGUUUCUAGAUCUACGAGGGCACCAAUGGUUGAUGGAAUAUUACCUGAUAAUUGAUUCCUUGAUAAAUCUAAAACUCUCAAGACCUUUAACUUUUGUACAUUGGAAGGGAGAGAAUCAUUUAAUGAAUUUGACGACAAGUUUAUCUCUAAGAUGUACUCAAGGCUCCACAAGGAUGACGGUAUACUAGAAGUGAGCUUGUUGGAGCCUAAGCGGAGUUCUCUUAGAGAUGUCAAACUCGCCAAGCAUGGCGGUAUAUGUCCAGAGAGCUUAUUUCCAUUUAACCUUAUUCCGUACAUCAACUCCAAGUGGCAAAGAUCAUAGGGAAUGGAUCCUUCCAAAUUAUUGUCUUCAAGAGAUAAACCUUGUAGCUGCUGUAAUGUUCCUACAGAUGUUGGAAUAGUUCCGUUCAAGUCAUUGAAGUCGAGGGUUAAGAGGAUCAAGCCACGUAAAUUACCAAUUUCUUUAGGAAUGCUGCCCCCGAGUUUGCACUCGUAAGCAUAAAAGCUUUGAAGAGAAGCAGAGAAAUUUCCAAUUAAUGGUGGAAGGAUGCCACCUAAUGGAUUAGAAUCUAAGACUAAAUAGGAUAGCUUUCUACAAUUAGUCAAAGAAGAGAGAAAACUCCACUGAUCUGCUGAAGAUGAUUCUGUCGUCAAGUUAUUCGUUCGUAUGCUGAGCACGUUGAGGUGCCUCAAGUUGCCAAAUGUAUUUGGUAUAUGGCCUGAGAAUGAGUUAGAGCCCAAGUCUAGACCAAUGAGUUUGGAAGCAUUGGUAAGAGAGUCAGGAAUUGUCCCGAUAAGAUUAUUGAUCGCCAAGGUUAAAUACUCUAUGUUCGGAAGCGAGUGGCCUAUCGUUGAUGGUAGGCGGCCUGAGAAUUGGUUGCUGUGUAGAUUAAGGACUCUUAUGGUUGAAAUAUUGAAGAUCGCGGGUGGAAUGAGGCCACUUAAAUUAUUCGUACCAAGAGCAAGACUCUCCAAAUUUUGUAGAUUGCCAAUCUCGGUUGGAAUUUGAUCUGUCAUAUCGAUUAAACCAACAUUGAUGAGUUAUUGAAUUUUUUGCUAAACAUAAAUUUAAUUUCAAAAUUCAUGAAAAUCAAAAUUUCCCACAAAAUAUGUGUUAUUAGUUUUAUAAUAAUUUAGGGGGUAAUGAUAUUUCUACCCCAUGAUUUUUGUAAAACACACAUGCUUUUAGAAAAUUAUUACCGCAAGAUCACAUUAUUCUUAAAAAUUCAAAUUAAGAAGAAGUUUCUAGAAUUAAUCAAUUAAAUCCAUAUUAAUUUAUAUUUGAAACUUAUAUUCUUUUAUUAUAUUUAAGUACUAAGGUUGUUUUAACAUAAAUUUAAUUGACUAUUUUACCCUCCUAAGGUAAAAGUACUAAAAUCCUCAAAAAUUUACUUCAACUAAACUAACAAAAUGUAUUUAUGACCUAUGGGGCAUUAAAAAUAUUGAAUUUUAUUUUUAAAAUAUUAUAUUACAAAACAUAAAACUAUAUGCUAGAUACUAUAGUACAUGUUUCUUGGGGUAAUAUAGUCAUUUUACAUUAUAAGGAUGAAAUAGUCAAAUUAAACUUAACUUGAAGCACCCGUAAAUGCCAAAAAUUGUUAAAAGACCUAAGUCAUAAAAGAAAAUUAUUAUCAGAAUAAUUUAUUUAGUUAAUUAUCUGACUUAUUGUUAAUUUAUAAUUUUAUAAGCUAUUGUGAACUUAUUGCAAUUAUCUAAUGGAGAUGAGGGGGGGUUUUGCAAGAAUAUGAGCGGCAGUAUUGCCACUCUAUAAAAUAAAAAGAAUUAUGCAGUCAUGCAAAUGCAAAUAUGCUGAACUUACCUUGCAGGUUGUUAUGACGAAGAUCCAAAUCAAAAAGGUUGCUCAAAUUUCCUAUCCCUGAAGGAAUAUUUCCAUCAAUAACGUUGAAACUUGCUUGUAACAUCUCCAAUUUCGAUAAGUUGAAGAGAGAAUUUGGGAUUGGACCCGUGAUAUUGUUAUUACGAAGACUCAUUAUUUGUAAUUUGGAUAAGACACCAAUCCAAGUUGGAAUGCUUCCACUCAAUUUAUUGAAACUGAAACUAAUGAAUUUGAGUCGGCCUAAUUUCCCCAAUUCAUUAGGUAGAUGGCCAUAAAAAUUGUUCAAAGUAACAUCAAGAGACAUUAGGAAUGAGAGAUUUCCCAGGUGUGGGGGAAUAGUGCCUCCGAGACCCAUGCCUGAAAGAUUUAAAGCCUUGACUCUUUGAUGGCGUGAAUCACAAGAAAUACCAACCCAGCUGCAUAUUGGAUGAGAUAUAGACCAAUUAUUUGCUAGGACACUCCGAUAAUCACCGACGUGGGCUUUGAAUGCAAGAAGAGCUGAUUGAUCUGUUAAAUUGUUUAAAGUCGUCGUAGCUAAGUUAGCUAUGGAAUAUUGUAACAACAUAGGAACAAAGAAGAACGAUAGGCGCAUAUUGGUCGUUUUUAAUAGAUACAGCAACAUAAUUGCUAGGUGAGAUUGAAACAAGUUUGAAGUGAAGGAAAUUAGCAUAUACUUAUACAAGAGACAUGAAUUUGAAAACAAGAAAAGAAAAAAUAUACAGGAGACUUGCAAACUGUUAUAUUUUGUCAUUAAGCGAGUCGUCCAAGUAAACGCACGUAUGGACUUGCAAAUUGUUAAACGUCGCUGUACUUGAACCGUAAACAAAGGGUGUGUUUGGUUGGAGGAUUAAAAGUGGGGAUUAGACACUUUUUUUUUUUUUUAAAUUUUAUCCUUAUCUCAUGUUUGGUGCUGUCAAGGGUAUUAGGAUUUAGUUAUCUUGAACUCACAAGCUAAUCUUAAUUUUGUAAAGGAAAUUAUCCCAAGAGGGGUCAUGGGAUUAGUUAGUAUUGGAUUAUAUUGAUAACUCAAUUAAACAUAAUAAUUUAUAAAUAUUAAAAUUAUAGUAAUAUGUGAUAAAUGUAAUAAAAAAAUAUUGAUUUUAAUAAUGUAAAUAAUAAAUUAUACUAAAAAUCAUUAUUAAUUUCACAUUAAAUUAAAAUUCUAUUUUACUUUAUUUAAUUAUUAAAUAUUUUUUAUAAUUCCAAAUUUACGUUAUAAAUUAAUUAUUAAAUUAGUAUUCAAAAAGAUAAAUUUUUAUAAAAUAAUAGAUUAUUGAAUAAAUAUCAUAUAAAUAUCAUAUACAUAUUUAACAAAAUAAUAAUUAUUUAAAUUAUGAUUUCUAUUUCUUUAACGUCAUUGAGGUUGAUUUGUAUAAUUAAUAAUACAAAAUUUUAGUUUAUAAUAAUAUUAAUAAUAAUAAUAACUUGUAAAUUGUAAUAUUAUAAUGUAAAACAUGAUUAUUUAUAGUCCAAUCUAAUAUUGUACCAAACACAAUAUAGUAUUAUAUAUAAUCCACUAUUAUUCAAUCCAAUUCAAUUUUAUCCAAUUUAAUCUAAUCUAAUUCAAUCAAAUCCGGCGGACCAAACCAGCCCAAAGGGUUUAUGGCCCUUUACUUACCAAACAGAAAAAGAUGCUCAACAUUGACAUCUUUGACCCAAUCCAAAUCUAAUCCAUACAUCUGCGGAUCAGAUGCAGAUUUAACCUAAUCCAUAUCCAAUCCACCAUUUUACGGAUUGGUUUGUAGACUGAAAAAUAUUAUAAGAAUAAUUUAUUAAUUGUUCAGACUUAAUUUAUAAUUCUAUAAGAUAAUGUGAACUUAUUAUAACUAUCUUAUCAAAAUGAGGUGGGAUUGCAAGAAUAAUGAGUAGAAAUAUCCCCAACCGAUAAAAUAAAAAGAAUUUUACAGCUAUACAAAUGCAAAUAUGUAGAACGUACCUUGUAGGUUGUUAUAAGCUAGAUUCAGAUACAAAAGAUUGCUAAAAUUUCCUAUCGCUGAAGGAAUAUUUCCAUCAAUGACGUUGUACGUUGCGUGUAACGCCUUCAGCCUCGAUUAAUUGAAGAGAGAAUUUGGGAUUGGACCCGUGAAACUGUUAUUACGAAGACUCAACACUUGUAAUUUGGAUAAGACGCCAAUCCAUGUUGCAAUGCUCCCACUCAAUUUAUUGAAAGUGAAACUAAUGAAUAUGAGUCGGCGUAAUUGCCCCAAUUCAUUAGGUAGAUUGCCAAGAAAAUUGUUCAGGCUAACAUCAAGAGAUUCAAAUGAAUUUUUGAUGGCGCGAACCGCAAGAAAUGCCAAUCCAGGUACACAUUGGAUAAGAUAUAGACCAAUUAUUUGUCAGGAUACUUCGAUAAUCAACGACACGGGCUUUGCAUGCAAGAAGAGCCGAUUGAUCGGUUGUUAAGAUGCAAUAGUGAGUAGUGAAAGUGGUUUGAGGUGGAGAUGCACCGGGAUCUACGGCCAUCCUGAGUUCAGCCAGAAGCAUAAUACUUGGACUCUCAUGAAAAGGUUAGCCAGCCUAUUUUCCUAUCCUUGGUGCUGUUUUGGUGAUUUUCAAUGAGAUAAUGCAUAUGCAUGAGAAAAACGGGGGCAAUGAGAGAAACCUGAAUAGGGUUGCCGAGUUUAGGGAAGCUGUGCAAAGCUGCAAUUUGCAGGAUAUGGGGUGUAAGGGAUAUCCCUAUACGUGGUCAAACAAAAGAUACAGAGAUCAUUUUAUUGAUGAGAGAUUGGACCGUUUUCUGUGUAGUAAAGAUUGGGGGAUUAAUUUUCAAGAAUCUGUAGGCACAAAUCUAGUGAACUGGUCUUCGGACCACUGCCCAAUCAUUCUAGAUUUCCAUGAGCGAAGCCAAAAUUCGAGACAUGCGGGCAAAUCUCUCCCCCGAGAUUAUUAUGAGGAUAUGUGGAGCUCCCACGAAGGCUGUAGGAGUAUAGUCCAGGAAGAGUGGAGCCGGUAUGGGGCUAGAGCUUGGGAAGCCCCUGUUCAGCAAUUUCAAUGAAUAGCCAAAUCUUCCUUGGCCCAGCUAAAACUUUAGAGCAAAACCGAAUUUCAUGGUAGGCAAAGAAAGUAAGAAAAGCUUAUGCAGAGCCUCCAGGAUGCUAUGAGAGGGAAUUCAAAGCUGGAUGAUGGCCAGGAAAUUAGGAGAUUGGAAAGUCAGAUUAACUCUAUGCUAGUUGAUGAGGAGAUUUACUAGAAACAGCGUUCGAGGGCCGACUGGCUUAGAGAAGGGGAUAAGAACACGAAGUAUUUUCACGCCAAAGCAUCUGCCCGCAAAAGGAAGAACAAGGUGUGGGGGAUUGAGAAUGACCAGGGCAUUUGGUUGAAGGAAAGGGAUGAAAUAGAGGAGGAGAUUUGCAGCCAUUUCCAAAAGCUUUUCACUACUUCCAGCCCGACUCCAAGCCAAAUCCAAGCAACCCUUCAAGGCAUGACAACAAAAGUAACUCCGGAGAUGAAUGUUCAGCUGGAGAAGCCGUUCACCGCUGAAGAUGUUGAGGAAGCCCUUGCCAACAUGUGUCCCACAAAGGCCCCAGGGCCUGAUGGUCUUCCAGCUGCCUUCUUCCAGAAGCAUUGGAAAUCUGUCCGUAACAGAGUGAUCUCAACGUGCCUUAAUGUCCUUAAUGAGCAAGGUAACCCAUCUACCCUCAAUCACACCUUUAUAGCUUUGAUUCCAAAAAUUGCAAAUCCUAGGAAAGUGAGUGAUUAUAGACCUAUCAGCCUCUGUAAUGUUAUUUAUAGAGUUGUAGCUAAGGCCAUUGCAAAUAGAAUGAAGCCGAUCUUUUCCCAAAUCAUCUCCCCUAUGCAAAGUGCAUUCAUCCCCAAUAGGCUCAUUACCGACAAUGUUAUUAUUGGUUAUGAAUGCCUUCAUAAAAUUAGGCAUAGCAAAGGGAAGAAGAACGGACUUGUAGCUUUAAAAUUGGAUAUAAGUAAGGCUUAUGAUAGAGUUGAGUGGCCUUUUUUGGAACAAACUAUGCUAAAGAUGGGGUUUCCUAGUAAUUGGGUAGCUCUGAUAAUGAGAUGUGUUAUUUCCACUUCAUUCUCGGUGCUAAUUAAUGGUGUGCCAAAAGGAAUGAUCCAGCCAAAAAGAGGCUUGCGACAGGGCUGCCCGCUAUCCCCGUACCUUUUUAUCCUUUGUGCAGAGGCUCUCUCCAAUUUGCUGGUUGUGGCAGAACAGAACCAGCUAAUCCAAGGGCUCAAAUUUGCGCGGGAAGUUUCAAUUACGCACUUGCUGUUUGCGGACGAUAGCUUGGUAUUCUCUCGUGCAUCAGUGGCUGAAUGCAGGCAUUUAAAAGAAAUGUUUGAUAAAUAUGCUGCAGCAUCAGGGCAGAUUUUUAAUUUUCAGAAAUCCUCACUGUUCUUCAGUGGAAAAAUUCCAGAGCAUCAACGGGCUGCUAUAAGGGGUAUCUUUAAUCUAAAUGUAGUCUCAAAGCAUGAGAAAUACCUUGGCCUACCAUCAAUGAUUGGGAGAAAGAAGAUGGGGUUCUGUAACGACAUCAAGCUGAAAGUGUUGAACAAGAUUGCAGGAUGGCAGCAUAAAAUGUUGUCUAGUGGGGGGAAGGAAGUUCUGAUCAAAGCGGCAGCCCAAGCAAUUCCGGCGUAUGCAAUGAGUGUUUUCAAGCUCCCAAGAGGCUUUUGUGAUGAUAUUCAGCGAGCUAUAGCGAAGUUCUGGUGGGGCUCGAAAGGGGAUAAGCACGGAAUCCAUUGGCGAAAAUGGGAGAAGCUCAGCCAGGCAAAGAUUAGAGGGGGGCGGGGAUUUCGAGAGUUUUCUUGCUUCAAUCAAGCGCUGGUAGCUAAGCAAGCUUGGAGGUUACUGCAGUACCCAAAUUCGCUGGUCUCCAAAGUCCUUCAAGCAAGAUAUUUCAGGAAUUCCAGCUUUUUAUGUGCAAAGGCAGGAGCCAAUGCCUCGUAUAUUUGGAGAAGCAUCAUGUGGGGUAGGCAGGUGAUUAAGAAGGGUAUGAGAUGGCAGAUAGGUAAUGGCAAGAAGGUAGCAAUUUUCUCGGAUAACUGGCUGCCAAGACCAGAGACCUUCAGACCUAUCUUCCCUCCAUCUUUGCCCGUAAGCUCAGUUGUUGCAGAUUUAAUUAAGGCUGAUAAUCAAUGGGAUGAAAUAAAGCUUCGACAGCACUUCAUGGAUGUAGACACAGCAGAGAUCCUCAAGAUUCCCCUCCCAACUGAGAAAGAAGAAGAUGGAGUGCUUUGGGAUUACGACAAAAGAGGGAACUACUCUGUCAAGAGUGGGUAUCAGCUAGCAUUGAGAUCAAAAUUUCCAGAUUCCACCAGCUGCACAGAGGCUUCCCACAAGUACUGGAGUGCCCUUUGGACACUGGAGUUGCCUGCGAAGCUUAAAAUUUUCAUGUGGAGGGCCUCUAAUAAUCUGCUUCCAUCGGUGGAAAAUCUGUGGAAAAGGAAGGUAGUGGAGGAGCCAACUUGUAAGCGAUGCAAACUGAGUGUUGAGACUAUCAGCCAUGCUCUCUUGGAGUGUAAGGUAGCGAGAAAAAUUUGGCUCCAAUCCCCCUUUUCAGGCCUUAGAUUAGAAGCCAAUUCUCAGGACAUUUUCAGCACUUUGCAAAAUAUGGCUAAGGAGAUGAGGAAAUCAGAUCUGGAAUUAAUGGUAGCUCUGUGUUGGUCUGCCUGGUAUGCUAGGAACAAAUGUAUCUUCGAUGGCAGGGAGAUUAAUCCUAUUAUAUCAGCUGCUAAAGCGGAGUCUGUUUUGUCAGCUUUUCAGAGAGUUAGGAAGCCCCAGCAAGCUCACAUCUCUAUCUUCAUAAAAGAGAAGCAGCAGGAGUGGCUCCCCCCUCCCCCGAAUGUUUUUAAAGUUAAUGUGGAUGCUGCUCUUAAUUCAAAGAAUCUGAGUGCAGGAGUGGGAACUGUGAUUAGAGACUCUAAUGGAAAGAUAGUUGCGGCUGGGGUAAAUCAGAACCUCCUAAAGGGGUCAGCUAGCUUGGCUGAAGCAGAGGCGGUGCUUUGGGGCCUUCAGCUGGCGAGAAAGGCGGAUGUAUCCUCUUUGAUUAUUGAGUCUGAUUGUUUAGAGGUGGUCCAGCUAGUGAACAACACCAAGGGCAGCAGAUCAGAAAUUUUUUGGACAAUUCUGGCAAUCCAAAACCAGAUGAAGAACUUCCAGAAAGUGGUUGUCAAUCACAUUCCAAGACAUUGUAAUGCUUGUGCCCAUUACCUAGCUAAGAUAGCUUUGGGGAAAAUCUCUCCCUGUAUGUGGCUGGGAAAUAUUCCAGCUGAAUUGUAUGGUAUUAUCAAGGUGUUGUGAUUAAUGAAAGGUUUACUUUCUUUUCAAAAAAAAGAAGAAUGAUAAGCGCAUAUUGGUCUUUUUUUUUAGAUGCGUCCAUCUAAUUGCUAAGUGAAGUUGAUACAAGUUUUAAGUGAAGGAAAUUAGCAUAUGCAUAUACAAGAGGCGUAUGAAUUUUGAUAACAAGAAAAGAAAACAAUAUACAGGAGAGUGGAGGCUUGCAAAUUGUUAUAUUUCAUUAUUUAGCGAGUCGUCCGAGUAAACGCGUAUAGACUUUUAAAUUGUUAUACGCCGCCGUACUUGAACCGUGAAUAAAGGGCUUAUGGCACUUGAGUUACCAAAAAGAAGAAGAUGCUCAACAUUGGCAAGGCCUAUGCAUUCUGUCCAUUUGUUCACGUUUUGCCGAGGCUCAUGGCAACCACAAUAUGUUCUUUUUCUUUCCUCUAAAAAACAAAAAGACGACCUUCACAUUUGGGCUAAUAAUUAUCACUAAACAAUUAAUAAUGCUGAGGGCUAGUGGUAAUGUAGCUUUAAAAUAAUUGUUAUUAGUUGCGCCUUAAAAAUAAAGAAAUAAAGAUAGUUAUACUAUACCCCCACAAUUUAAUAAAAUAAUCAUGUAAAUUUCUAAACUUUUAACAAUAUACACCAAGACCCCUUAUGUUACUUUUUACCAUUUAUUUGGAUGUCACAUGCUUUUUUUUUUUUUUUUUUAAAUUUUUCACUGCAGAAAUUAAAUGCUAAAUUUACUGUUAUUCCCAUAUCAUGUCAUCGCUUGCUUCUACACAUAUUGAUUGUUUUUCCAAAGUUUAAAAUUGAAUUAAAAACAUUCUAAUUAACCUAAAAAUUAAAAAAAAAACUCAUCCAACCAGAUAUAAAUCUUCUAAUUAACCUAAAGAUAAGCUACACCCCCAUAUUAAUUCCAAUUAAAUAAAUCUUCAUUUUUGUCAUGGUUUUGGAUCUCGAGCAGGGUGGAUACAUCCAACCAGAUCCGCCCCAUUGGCAUUCCAAUAUAUUAUGGAAUUGGAAGAGUAUCAAUGACUUAAUUUGUAAUUUUAAAUUUGUAACGUAUAAUUCUAAUUUAAGGAUUCAAAUUAAUUUAUGCGGAUCUAAAAGGGGACUGAUGAUGGGCAUGCAUACAUACAUGCAUACAUAUAUUUACAUAGAGAGAGAGAGAGUGAGGUAAUAUAACAUUCUUCUUGAUGAAGAUUUUUGUGCCAUACGCAUUAAAGAGAGUAUUGUGUCGAUGUUGGAGGCUAGAGGGACAAGUGGUUACAUUGCUUCAGAGGUGUUUAGUAGAAACUUUGGUGAGGCAUCACAUAAUUUAAACUACUAGAUUUAGCGAGAUAUAUAUAUUUUCCACAUUGGAUUUACAAGCAUUUGGAGCAGGAUAAUGAAUUUAAAUUACUCGGAAUUGUAAACAGCGGAAAGUGAAAUUGCUAAGAAGAUGAAUAUUGUUGUUUUGUGGUGUAUACGGACUCGUCCAUCGGAUAGGUCGCCCAUGAACAGAGUGAUAGAAAUGUUAUUGCAAAGAAGCAGACUGACUAGCAGUGACGCUUUGAAUAAAUCCACCAAACAUCUUCUCCUACAAGACCACCAAUAUAUUCUUCCACCAUUCAACGUCGUGAUGUGGGGAUCAGAAUUGAAUUAUAGGAUGCUUGUAAGUUUCCUUUGUGGAACUUGUGAAUUUGUGAUGGCAAAAGUCAAUGAUGCAUGUAACUAGCCGGCCCGUGUAGAGGCCGUUUGACUCAUAAAUAUUUGUCACUUUCACUCUUUUUCAAAACCCAAAAGCACGCUAAAGCUUAAUCUAAAAAGAAUUUUUGAUUUAGUGCUGACAUUUUGGGCUCACCUUUGAGUAAUGUUUUACCACGCAUGCAUUUAUGUCAUUGUGCGGUCAUCCUUUACUUCUAAAGAUCGUAAUCUUUAAGAAAAAAUUACUUCUUUUGAAAGUGAAAGCAGGCCAGCUAUUGGCGUAUUGCAUUGAAGCUGCUAUGUGUAGUAGUCAAUUCUUGGAAAGAACUAGUUUUCUUAAAUUGUAAAUGGUCCCCUUUAUGACUGGGAGAUUUUGAACAAAAUUAAUAUGAUGAAUUCUUAGCAAGUGUUGUUCCUUGAAGUCUCAUCUUUCACAAUGUUUUUGAAAUAAAGAUAUUACCAUCUCUGACUAAAGAUUUACUCUUGAUUUGGACCACCUAAUCUGAACUUGAUGGAUGAUUAUGAUCUUGCCUAAUUUUAUGGAUGUGGUCUUAUCUCACGUAAGUCAGUAAUGAAUUAAUUAAAGUUUACUGUCAAAUUAUGAACUGAAAAACUGCUGCUACUUCAUUAUUCACAAUGCCCAAAUUCAGUGCAGAACUGAUUAUAAGUUUUCCGAAAGUUUUACGCUUUCUUUCCCCCAAAUCCCAAGUACUUCCUGUAAUAUCAUUCCCCUAUAGAUGUCUUCCCCUGAGACAUUUUUAACUUUGGUUCAGGGUAACAAAGCUAUAGCUUUUCCUGUCGUGUGCAACAAGCUAUUAAAUUAGAGUAUUUAUUUCUGUAUUACUACUAGUAGUAAGAGAGGCGAAAUGGAAUCUUGAAUUCAUGUUUAUACAACAGUUUGUUUAUAAAUAAAUGAGUUGAUAACAAGUCAUUUUAAAUAUUUGCAAAAAAAAAAACGGUGAGUGAUGUCUAGUUCUAUUUUCAAUGUUCAGAGUCGAAUUUUGAUUACUGAAAAUUUUAAUUUAUGAAGUUGAACUAAGAAUUUGUUAUAAUAUAUUCCACCUUCCUAUACAGUCAUCUGGAAUAAUAAUAUAUCAAAAACAGUAAUAACUUGAUUUACAGGGUGAGAAAGAAAAGAAAGACGCUACGAGGGAAGCAGAGAUUCAAAGACUUCGCUACUUUGUUGGAGGAACAAUUUCAUAAAUCUCCAGAAUAUUGACAUAAAACACAGAACAUAUCUAGCAUUAAGUAUAUUUAUGUAUGUCCAAAGAUAAAAAUUCGAAGAUUAGAUUUAUCAUUUCAAUUUAUGUUCCGCCCAAAGCAAUGGCUUUUAUUCCACAAGCACAAACAAGAAAGAGUACACAAAGUUAACAAACACACAUGUUGAUGCGAGAUUCUGGUUGUCCUCGUUCUACGACCAGGGUCUCUGCUCGAUCAACUUCACCACGACCAGGAUCUCUCCUCGUAAAGCUUCUUCUCCAGAGGUUCCUGCGCACACAGACAGGUCAGAGUACGCCGGUUUUUUUCCCGGCGCAAACCCUCCAACGCUCAAGUCAGAAAUAGGGGUUCUGGGAAUGUUUGCCACGAAUCUUAUGGCUUCUUUUUAAUCUCAGUUCUCGGAACUUUCUUUUCUUAGUUCUAAUAGCAAAAAGUCUAACCCUUUUACCUUUGCUGGCUACUUUUUUAUAGGCUUCCUCUGAAUCCCGGUCUUCCGUAGUCCACGCCCAUUACUCUUCCCACCCUCGGAUGUGGAUGCCCCAUUGUCGUCAUUGUGGGCGAAUGGAGAUGGACUUCGUGCCUUGAUUCUCGGAUAGGAACGCACGUCUUGCCAACUGUCGUUGACCGGGUCUCCUCGCCUCGACCCCUAGCAGGAAUGGCCUUAUGCCUCUAACAGGAGUUCGUCCUCGUGAAUGGCAUAUUUGUGGACGAGCAGAAUAUUCCUGCUCCUGUUCCCUUGCUACCAGGCUCUUACAGGACAUACCUGUUCGCAGAACUCUGCCACCAAAUAUAUGCUCAUCAUGUCUGGUCUCGUCGAAGUAUUUCCCUCAAACACCGGUCCCCCAGUUUCUGGUGUUGGGUAAUGUAAUGGACCAGCAGUAGAAACUCAACAGUUCUUGCUCGCGUGAGACUUGAAAAGGCUGCCAAGAGUCGUGUCGCAUUUAAUUGCGGAUGCAGUGAUGUGGCAGAAAUCUACCCCUUCGUUUGAAUUUCAAACCUACGGUUGCAAGAUUCUCAGAAUCUGCGUCAUUAAAUGCUGGCAGCCCAAAAGUUUGCUUCUCAGUAAGAAAACCCAAAAUCCUCAAACACGAACUCGUCAUUUUCUCCAUUCCUGUCUCUCCGGCUAAUGAACCUCGGCAUUAAAGCUUUCAUCCCUGUCUCUCUCUGAGCGAGUCCCUGCUUCAGGUAUUUCUUCUAUCUUCACGGUCUCGGUUAGUUGUAGAUAAUUUCUUUUCUCUUUGCUUUGCUUGGGGUAGUAUCUGGUAGUGGUGUUUUGGUUAUAACCUAGGGAAUGUCGAAGGGUAAGGAGAAAGUCGUUGAUAUUGAUGACGACGAACUAGGUUUCUUGCCUAGUCUGCUCACUGAUUCUGCUUUUGGCCCCGGGAUCCCCUUAGAGCCCACUAGGUCUAGUGUUGGGACUAGCGCUAGGAGGAUGUCCCCCCAAACAACCUCCACGAGCGGAAGUAGUGGCGAGGAGGGACCUUCUGGCUCGGAAGACACCCUAAGUGAGGAUCAAUGAGGUGACUCUGGUGAGGGAUCUUCACCGGGAACACUGCGACCAGAAGGGUGUAGUACAGUAGGAGGUAGAGCCUUGUCGCGGGAUUAUGCUAUUGAUUACAUGACCUGCACGACCACAUUCAACGAGCUGGAUGACCUCCGGCUCAGGUAUCAUAUUCCUGGUGAGGUACUCCUUAGGAUCCCAGGAAAGAAAGAUAGUCUUAGCAGGCCUCCUAGGGGAUUUGUCACCUUGUUCUUGGAGAGUUUUAAGUACGGGCUAAGGUGCCCCUUGCAACUCUAUUUUGCUCGCAUACUCCACGGGCUCAAUCUAGCUCCUGGUCAGUUGAACCCCAAUGGGUGGAGGGUGCUCUUUGGUCUGUUCAUAUUGUGGGACAGAUGUUGCCAAAGCGAGCCCACGGUUGAUGAGGUGAAGCACCUGUACCAGCUAAGGAGUAGCCCCAAAGAUGCCGGCUGGUACUACUUCCAAUCUAGUACCAAGAGUAGGAAACCCAUAACUGAUCUUCCAACUGGUGGUGGUGGGACUUGGAAGAGGAAAUUCUUUUUUGCUGGGGGUCCUUGAGGUCAAGUUGCACAAAUAGACGGGAAGGAUUGUCGCGUCCCACCCCGUUUCACGGUCCCAGGUUGCCUGCUCACUUUAGAUGUCUUGUAUCCAUAAUUGUUCUUACUUUAUUGGUUUGUCUCUAACCAAGUGUCUGUUUGUGUUGUAGUUUCUUGGGGUGUUCAUUUUCCGCUCAAACCUGAUCAGCUCAAACGGGUCGAGGCUGUACUAGCCAACUCCUGCCCGAGCCGAGAACUGAUAACUAUUUAUAACUUCCUCGAGUCUCGCUUGGUACUCCCUGGCCAUAAGAUGGAGGACGCUGUGAUUGGGGCUCUGAACAGGAAACGUUCUCGACCUCAAAACACGAAGAGGGACCAGAACAAGGACGCCCCUAGGGCAAAGCGGACCAACAUCGUGCAGCAAGUCUCUCCCUUGAAGACUUUACCUCCUGCUCCUGCCAAAGUCAGCGAAACUAGUGGAGCAGCCACAGAUCCUGCUUCCUCUUCUCCUCCUGUCGGGCCUCGAUCUCGCUUUCCUGACAGCCGAGCAGAACACUUGGUCCCCUAUCUCAAUGAGUUAUCUAAACUCGUGAGCAAGAAGGACCUGGAGGACUUUAAUGGCUGCACCCUGGGCGAGCUGGUAGGAGCCAUGCAGUAUAGUGCUUUCCAUCUCAGCUGCAUGACCACCUAUUAUAAGGCUAAGGUUGGCCGUUAUGACAGGAAGAUGAAGGAGGACAUUCAAUCAGCGAUGACCAGAGCUGACGCCGCCGAGAAGAAAGCAGGAGAGCUAAAUGUCGAGAACCUGAAGCUGAUAGAGCAAGAAUCUCUUGCUCAAGCAAAAGCCAUUACCCUCGAGGAGGAGCUGACCAAGGUCAAGGAGGAUCUUCAAAGGCAGAAGGCAAUGUAUGAGGCUCAGCUCGAAUCUCUCCGCGAUUCCCAUCGAGCUCAGGUCGAGAACUUGGAGAAGGAGGCCGACAACCAGUACGACCAGGGACUUCGGCAUUCCUAUCGUUGCAUCAUGGCCGUCCUCGGGAAGCAGCAUCCUGAUCUAAAGAUGGACGACCUUGCAGCUGGUGUCGCCCAACAUAUGGACGAGGAGGCUGCAAAGGAGGAUGCCGAAGGGGUAGACGCAAUCGUGAUUGAGGAGGAAAACUCUCCUCCUCAUGUAGACCCUGCUGACGUUGGCGAGGCGAGCACCCCCCCGGACGCAACUGGUGAUACCCCCCCUGCACCUGAGGAGGUCCAGCCAACCGAUGCUGCUCGGCAUACUGAUCCGCCAUCUUCUUGAACUUAUCUUGUGCUGUAAUUGCUUUUUGAAUAUUCUAUAUAACAGCUUUGUAAACUUUUAAGAGCUUAAUAAGAUUGUUCUUAUUUGCUUCCUCGCAUUGGUAUUUUAAUUUAUUUAUCUAUUUGGCUUCUGUCCUCGUCACAGAGGAGGCCUUGAAGUUUGACGAGCCUUUGCCUGUCUUGGAUAAUUUCUUCAAUGAUUGGGAUUCUGCUCGCCUUCGCGUGGUCGAGCAGAUCCUGGCACGCUUGGCUUUUGGUCUCGCCAUAAACAGGCUUUGAGACUCGACGAGCCUUUGCAUGCCUUAGUUUCUUCAAGGAUUGGGAUUCUGCUCGCCUUCGUGUGGUCGAGCAGAUCCUGGCACGCUUGGCUUCUGGUCUCGCCAUAAACAGGCUUUGAGACUUGACGAGCCUUUGCAUGCCUUAGUUUCUUCAAGGAUUGGGAUUCUGCUCGCCUUCGCGUGGUCGAACAGAUCCUGGCACGCUUGGCUUCUGGUCUCGCCAUAAACAGGCUUUGAGACUCGACGAGCCUUUGCAUGCCUUAGUUUCUUCAAGGAUUGGGAUUCUGCUCGCCUUCGCGUGGUCGAGCAGAUCCUGGCACGCUUGGCUUCUGGUCUCGCCAUAAACAGGCUUUGAGACUUGACGAGCCUUUGCAUGCCUUAGUUUCUUCAAGGAUUGGGAUUCUGCUCGCCUUCGCGUGGUCGAGCAGAUCCUGGCACGCUUGGCUUCUGGUCUCGCCAUAAACAGGCUUUGAGACUUGACGAGCGUUUACAUGCCUUCAAUUCUUCAAGGAUUGGGAUUCUGCUCGCCUUCGCAUGGUCGAGCAGAUCUUGGCACGCUUGGCUUCUGGUCUCGCCAUAAACAGGCUUUGAGACUUGACGAGCCUUUGCAUGCCUUCAAUUCUUCAAGGAUUGGGAUUCUGCUCACCUUCGCGUGGUCGAGCAGAUCCUGGCACGCUUGGCUUCUGGUCUCGCCAUAAACAGGCUUUGAGACUUGACGAGCCUUUGCAUGCCUUCAAUUCUUCAAGGAUUGGGAUUCUGCUCGCCUUCGCGUGGUCGAGCAGAUCCUGGCACGCUUGGCUUCUGGUCCCGCCAUAAACAAGCUUUGAGACUUGGUGAGCCUUUGCAUGCCUUUGAUAAUUUCUGGAAAGCUUAGGAUUCUGCUCACCUUCUCGUGGUCGAGCAGAUCCUGGCACGCUUGGCUUCUGGUCUCGCCAUAAACAGGCUUUGAGACUUGGUAAGCCUUUGCAUGCCUUUGAUAAUUUCUUGAACAGUGUAGUUGAUUCAAACUCCUCAUUGAUUCAUUUAUUAUUGAAUUCGGCUUACAUGAGGUUGCUUUGAAAUAAGAAAUAAAAAAAUAGAAAACAACAGACAUGAACAGAAAAAAAACUUUAAAACAUGAGUAAGUCUUACUAGAAAUAUUUCCUGAGGUGUGCCGCGCUCUAGGGGCGUUUCACCUCGUGGCCCUCCGUGCGAACCAACUUGUAAACUCUGGGUCCAACUAGCUGCCAUUCCUGGCUUCCACUCGGGUAUCAAAGGAUGUUAUCUGCAUUGCUUCCUUUGUUGCCGAGGAGUAACAGCUUCGUGCGAUUCUCUGGUCUCCUCGUACCACUCCAACUACCCCAUUCACCCGGUACUUGAGAGCCAGAUAAUGGUUGGACAGCACCGCUUUGCUCAUCCUCAGAAAUGGCCGGCCUAGGAUCAUCUGAUAAGGACCUUCCUCAUCCACUACCACAAAGUCCAGUAUCAUUGUCCUUUCUGUCGGGGAGCUCCCAAUCGUGAUAAGUAGCUCGACCACGCCCAGAGGGACCAACUUUCCUCCUCCAAACCCCUUCAAGGAGGUAUUGGUGUAAUCCAACUUCAGGUCUGCUAUUCCCAUUUCCUCCAGGGUUGACUUAAACAACACAUCAACUGAGCUCCCUGUGUCAACCAGUAUCCUGUCAAACUUCUUGCUGGCAACAGUGGCCUUGAUGACCAAAGCAUCCUCGUGGGGGUAUAGAAUCCCUUCUUCAUCCUCAUCUGUCCACAUGAUUGGCACUUGCCUGACUCUUGCACAUUUGGCUGCUGGGGUGUUGAAGAAUACAUCUUUGCUGGUCAUGGCGUAUCUAGCGUAAUUCUUCCUCGACCUGUUGGAAUCUCCGGCCAAUGUUGGGCCCCCAGCUAUCACCCUUAGUGCAGGAUGCUCGCGCCUCAGGUUUCUAUCACUCUGCUCCCCUUCAUAUGUCGAGGCCACCAUCGGGAAAGUCCCAUCUACAAACUCGUCCAGGUACCGAUUUCUCACCAAAUCUUCAACCUGGGUCUUGAGAUCUCUGCAUUCUGCGGUGGUAUGGCCAUGAGUGCCAUGGAACUUACAAUGGCGUCCCCUAUCCCUCCUGCCGGGUAGCUUUGUUAUUGGGGCAGGGAGGUACAGCAGUCCUCGGUCCUUUAUGGCCUCGUAUACUUCAUCUAGGGACAUCUUCAAGGACGUGUAUCGCCCAUACUCCUGGUUCUGGUCGAUCAGGUGCACGGCCCUUUCUCUAUUUGCUCCGUUCUGAGUUGGAGGCGAUGACAGCAUUUCUGGUCUGCUCCCUCUACUACCGUGGGAGUGUUGAUGAAGACCACCAUAUGUCGAAUCAUGCCUUCUCCAAGGCUCCCUAGCUGGGGAACGAGGAGGGUGCGCCCUGCUGCGCUGAUACUGUGGUGGCCUCUGAUGAGGCUGGUGAGCUGUUACCCGACCUCCUGCUCCACUACCUGAGGCCUGGAGGUCCCUCCUCCUGAUCGGCCAAUUUCCCAGUAAUGCCCUCUUUUCUUUCUUUUCCAACCCCUCCAGCUGGUCUGUCUUAAUCCGAGCUGCCUUUUCUUCCUCGAUCUCUAUGUCUCUUUUAGCUUGCUCGUAUGCGGCUGCAUACGUCUGAAUAGCUGGGCUUCUCAAGUUGUACCACAGCCUUCCUAUCUUCACUCCCUCUUUCAAUCCCCUUAGUGCCUGAGGAUGGUCGAAGGCUCCCAAAUCGAGGACAGCACGAUGAAACCUCUUGAUGAAUUCCCGAAGAGUUUCUUGUUCCCCUUGCUUCAUGCUUUUCAACUCCAUCAUGUCAUCUUCUAGUGCCAUUGCCCCACGAAACUGCUCUGCAAACUCCUGGCACAUCUGCUCGAAGGUUUUAAUGCUCCUCCCCCGAGGAAGUUUUCUGUACCACUCUCGUGCACGUCCCUCAAGGGAUAGUGGGAACACCCUGCCUGCACCUUUGGGAUUGAGAUAAUCCUUGUACCCCAAUUAUGUCGUUGAAGCGCUCUAUGUGCACCAGCGGAUCUGUUCGUCCCGAAUAUCUAAGGUCUGGGAGGCGGAAAUCUCUCGGAAUAACUGCCCUCAUGAUCUCUGCUGCGAGCGGUGAUUCUCCAUCUAGCAUUAUCCUCCAACCAGGAGCUCUGCUCCUUCCUUGCAUGUCGUCAAUUAUCUGCGCUAGUCUGCGCACUUCCUCCUCCAGCUGCACUGCACGACCAGGGUCACGUGCUGCAACUUGAUCCCGCUCUUGCUCUACAUCAAGCAAGUGUUGCCUCAACUCUGUUUCCUCUGCAUUUGCCACCCCGUCGUCCUCGUCAAAAAUCUGUCUUGCCGGGAAUUGCUCUUCCUCUCUACGGAAUUCUCCCCGCAGAGGUAUGUUACCUCUCUCACCACCAAAUCUCCCGGUGGUUUGACUUCUCCUCGUACUAUCGGGACCUAGUGCCACUCCACCAACUCUCAUCCUUUCCUCCUGGGUUACCCUUCGUUCACUCCGCAACUCAUGCAGGAUGGUUGUCAGGGUCUCCAUCUGCUUUUCCAUUCGUUCCAUUCGGUCGAACAUGGCUUUUUCCCGUGCUUCACUGGCUAUCUCCCUCAGAGUCACGGAAUCGUUAAGCCUCAUAUCACCCCCUUGUGCACUACUUCCUCCUGUCUCCAUUGCUUUUCACUUGCUUCACUCCUCUUCUUGCUAUCAACAGAAGCUUUUUGAUCAGCUCCCCACAGACGGCGCCAAAAUAUUGAUGCGAGAUUCUGGUUGUCCUCGUUCUACGACCAGGGUCUCUGCUCGAUCAACUUCACCACGACCAGGAUCUCUCCUCGUAAAGCUUCUUCUCCAGAGGUUCCUGCGCACACAGACAGGUCAGAGUACGCCGGUUGUUUUCCCGGCGCAAACCCUCCGACGCUCAAGUCAGAAAUAGGGGUUCUGGGAAUGUUUGCCACUAAUCUUAUGGCUUCUUUUUAAUCUCAGUUCUCGGAACUUUCUUUUCUUAGUUCUAAUAGCAAAAAGUCUAACCCUUUUACCUUCGCUGGCUACCUUUUUAUAGGCUUCCUUUGAAUCCCGGUCUUCCGUAGUCCACGCCCAUUAGUCUUCCCACCCUCGGAUGUGGAUGCCCCAUUGUCGUCAUUGUGGGCGAAUGGAGAUGGACUUCGUGCCUUGAUUCUCGGAUAGGAACGCACGUCUUGCCAACUGUCGUUGACCGGGUCUCCUCGCCUCGACCCCUAGCAGGAAUGGCCUUAUGCCUCUAACAGGAGUUCGUCCUCGUGAAUGGCAUAUUUGUGGACGAGCAGAAUAUUCCUGCUCCUGUUCCCUUGCUACCAGGCUCUUACAGGACAUACCUGUUCGCAGAACUCUGCCACCAAAUAUAUGCUCAUCAUGUCUGGUCUCGUCGAAGUAUUUCCCUCAAACAACACAUAGCAAACAUGACAUUAACUACUUGCAGCAGCAUCAUCCAGAAACUUCACUAUAAUCUUCUUGAGCUUUUCAGCGGCAUCUUUCGUAGAUGCCCUUUGUUUUGGUGACUCCAUGCAAAAAUCCAAUGCCGAAUGCAUGAUGCUUAAUAAACAAUUCAUUUUAUUAGUACAUUGGAUAUAAUCGAAGGCAGAGUAUAUUUCAGGACAAGUAGAGUAGCAUUCUUGGAUCCUUUGCUAUUAUCUUCUUUGCAAGGUGGGACUUGAGGUCCUGGUGGACAACAUACUGCAUAAUUCUAAAAAAAUUAUUGAGCUGAAAUGUUUUUAAAAGGUCUUUUGAUAGAAACUCCCCCUUCUAGCCUAUUGUGAGACACAUUAAGUUGUUUGAGAUAUAAGAGUGCCUCUAUUGACUUUGGAAUUUCUCCAGAGAAAUUGUUGCUUGGGAGAUCCAAAGAUUCCAACCUUAUCAAACUACCAAAUGAUUUGGGGAUUAGACCAUAAAAUUGGUUUCUAGCCAAGCUAGAUCUUUGGGGCCACCAAUAUUUACUGGCAUAUCACCUGAUAAUUGAUUUCUUGAUAAAUCUAACUCUAUUAAGACCCUUAAGUUUUGUAUAUCACUUGAUAAUUGUUUGUAUUGGGCCUUCUAUUUUCAUUAUAGAAUAAAUUAACUAUUAAUUUUCAUGAGAAAAAUACUUAUUUCCAUAAAAUUAUUCAAGCUUUUAAAAAGAUUUAGAAUUAAAAAUCAAACUUUGUACUGUAGAAAAUUUGCCGGUACGUUCAAUUAGUACUUUGUUUGAGGAAAUAAGAUUAGAAUAGGCUAUAGGUACGGUAGUUAUGCGGUACCUGUUUAAUAACCGUAGUAUAGUAAAUGUUUGACUUUUUUAUUAGAAAUAUAUCAUUAACAAUUUUGUUCGCUAAUUGAAUAGAGAAAGAAAGGGGGGGUGGGGGGGGGGGGAGGGCAAAAAGGUUAACACAUUUCGAAACUACAAACGAUUGCCUUUUCCUAUUAAUAAUGUUUGCGGAUUCUAACAAUUGAAUCUCAAGGUCAUUACAUAGUGAAUUUUAUAGUUAAUAAAAUUAAUAUUCCACAUACUAUCUACUCAAUUAAUGUCACAUUUUUUGAAACUUGAAUGAUCUAUUUGCUACAAUUAGGAGCCAACGUCGUAAUGAAUGUUAAAUUAUGCUGUUUGUUUUGAUUUACUUUUCUAUCUUAGCUCCAAGUGAUUAGCGGAAUGCUGGUCUUGUGAGUAUAAAAUGAACUCCUUAAGUCAAAUUCCUUCUGGGGUGUUGGAGAAAGAACUAAAUACAUGUAAUCUUGCUUUCGGAUAUGGAUUAUCUGAUGGAUGUUGUAUUUUCUAGGUAUUGAGGAGAUUCCUCAUUAUUGAAAAAUUACGUUCCCGAGCAUCAAAAGAUGAUCCCAUAGAAUUGCGUUCUCCUGUGACAAAAGAGGAGCUUGUAGCUGAGGUAUCGAUUUUUAUCUUUCUUGAUUGUUCUUUAUAGUUGUUUCUCAUCAAAAUAGAAAAAGCAGUUUGUUCUGAGUGACCUGUGCGGUCUACUAUCAAUCACUGCCAUUUCUAUCAUUUAGUACUAUUGACUGUGUGUAUAGAUAUUUUGUUUUUGCCAUGUAAUUUCAUGUUUGAUACAUUUCUAAUACAUUGCAUAGCGUUCAUGAACGAGAAUGAUAAACUAACUUUCAGGUGUGUUUAAGUAGAUGAAAAAACUUGGUACAAUUUAGAAGGAUUCACUAAUUUUCCAAUUUGUUUGUAUGGAGAAAUUGAAUAGUUAAUUGAUUAGAGGAUUGCAAAGUGGGUAGGUCCAGCUGGGCAUUGUCAAUAUUAACGAUCGAUGUUUUGAGAAGGUCUGGAGCUGACAUCACGGUUGCGUCUGUGGAGAAACAACUUCGUGUCGACGCGUGUCACGGUGUCAAGAUUGUCGCUGAUGCUCUCGUGUCUGACUGCCGCGACGCCGUUUUUGAUCUUAUAGCUCUUCCCGUAUGUAUUGCAGCUCACCUCAGCUCAUGCCAAUUUAUGUGAUGUUUGUAUAAUUAUAGAUGAUUAUUGCUGAUACUGAAUGUUAAGCUAAAUAAUUCGUUCUUAAGUCAUCUUCAUUUAAUUUUCGAUUGAAAAUGAAAAAAAUAAUAAUUGUAAGCAAAGAAAAAUAUCGAAAAUGUUUAUUUUGUUUUAAUUUUAUUUUUUAAUUUUUUGGGAUUUCCUUAUUGUGGCUGUUAUUAUUCAUUAUAUGGUCCUAGUUAAAUAUUUCAAGUUGUUGUAGUUAGUGAAUUUCUUUUCGAUAUUUAUUCUGGCAUGUAUAUUUUUUCUUUUCAAUUUCUUUUGUUGCUGAUUCUUUGAUUAUGUUAUAUCCUUUUUUGUUUCCCUUGUAGGGUGGCGUGCCUGGUGCUACCAAUCUGAAAGAAUCUGAAGUAUUAGAAAGCAUUGUGAAGAAGCAGGCUUCAGAUGGGCGUCUUAAUGCUGUUAUCUGUGCUUCACCUGCUGAGGCAUUAGGGUCUAGGGGUCUGUUGAAGGGAUUGAAGGUAAGAAUUAGAUAAACCUUUUUGAUGUUCUGUGGUCUUUUGGGAAUUGCACUGAUAUUUUUGUUAUAGUUCAGUUUUCUUCUCGCUGAUGAUUGUUAAGUUCUAAUUUAUGUAGUUGUUCAUUUUUCGUAGGCUACUUGUUAUCCGUCAUUUAUGGAGCAAUUAGCUCCUGCUUGUGCAACAACUGUUGAAUCAAGAGUACCACAGGAUGGUAAAGUUGUUACGAGUCGUGGACCCUGCACUACUAUGGAGUUUGCUGUUGCACUUGUUGAGCAGUUGUAUGGGAAAGAGAGAGCUGAUGAGGUUUCUGGGCCACUGGUAGUAACUUUUAUAGAUAAUGUUGUUUAAAAAAAUUGUGAGUUAUAUAAUUUGUUGAAAUUCAUUCUAAUAGGUUCAUCUGGUAUGUCAAAUUGGAAGGUUCAGAUGCUAAUGUAGUCCAAAAAAUUAGUUCAGGGGAAAAGUAUGACUUUUUGCAUUAGAGAUUUAUUAGAUGAAGUUGUAUACCUACUGGCCCAUCUUAAUAUGGUGAAAACGAUGUAAAAUCGGGAGAGGGGGUUCGGGGGAGAGGGGAAGCCCUCUCCAACCGCAAGGCCGUUAUUCUGACAUGAAUAGAGUAAGGCCUUUACUUUUAUAAAGAAAGGUCCCUGUUUUGCACGUCUCCACUGAUCACAUUCUUUUUAAUGUAAGUUCUUUCUCUUGGUAUUUGUCUUUGAUUUUUCUCUUCCUCAUGCUGUCGUCUGUCAAAAGAUUUGGCUGCAGCAUCUAGAAGUUUUGAAGAAGCAAAAUGGGUCACACGGCUUUGAAGUUCUAGAUGCCGUAAUGUUUGGUAAAAGUAAAAAAAAAUUCAAAGCUCAAAAAUUCAAAGUUCGAAAAACUGAAAUUUUUGAGCUGUAUGGCUUGUAAUUUUAUAGCCACUUUUUUGACUUUUAAGGAAAAGUUUUACCUAUAAAUACAAGCUCUCAAUUUAGAGCUUGCAUCCAAUUUUGUAAAGAGAGUCGAGAGCUGUGAAAAGCAAUUCUUGCAGAGCAGAGAGUUUGUAGAGCUUAAAUAAUAAAAGCUGUUGUUUUAAUGAUUUGAGAGUUUGGAUGUAUUGGGGUUUUGGGAAGUGAGCUAAAAUACUACAAUACUUGUAACUCCUUUUCACUAGUAAAAUAUUUUUCUUCUAUCUUCACCCAUGGACGUAGGUUAAAAGCCGAACCACGUAAUUUCCUGGUGUCCUCUUUGUGCUUCUUCUUGAUUUUUUUUUCCCAAUUUUACUUUAGUUGCGGCCCUGCUUCACCCGCCAAUUUCCUAACAGCGGUAUCAGAGCUAUUAGUUGUAUUAUUUGGAGUCGGGUACUAUUCACAUACGGUACUGUUCACAUAUACGGUACUAUUCAUGUAUACGUUACUAUUCACGUGAAACGGUGGGAGCAAUUCUAGUAUUGGCGAUGCAAAGCAGGGGAAUAGUGUGUGUGAGUGGAGUAAUUGUGUGGUUUUGGACAUGUGUAAGAAAGUUCUGUCACAAAGGCGAUAAGAGCCUAAGGAGUUAGGAUUUUAAGUGGGACUAUUGUGACCCCUCCAGUCUUUCCUGGGAACUUUCUUGGUGUGCUCUCACACAUACUCACAACUAUUCAAGCUGGUACACUAGUUUUGUACAAUAUUUAUCAACAAAAUGGUGGCAAAGUAUGAAAUUGAGAAGUUUAACGGAAAUAAUUUUUCGUUGUGGAAAAUGAAGAUGAAAGUUGUAUUGAAGAAAAAUAAUUGAUUGGCAGCAAUUAGAGAAAGGCCCAUGGAGAUAACUGAUGACAAGUGGAACAAGAUAUAUGGCAACGCCAUUUUUGAUCUACACUUGGCACUUACGGAUGAAGUAUUAUUCAGUGUGGCAGAGAAAACUACAGCGAAGGAAAUAUGGGAUACUCUCACAAAAUUGUACGAGACCAGGUCACUACACAACAAAAUCUUCUUAAAGAGGAAGCUCUAUACUCUUCGAAUGACGGAAUCUACAAUGGUGACCGACCACAUCAAUACCUUGAAGACUCUAUUUUCACAACUCACAACGUUAGGUCAUAAUAUAGAGGAAAAUGAACAUGCAGAGCUUCUACUUCAAAGUCUACCAGAUUCGUAUAAUCAACUCAUCAUCAACCUGACGAAUAAUAAUCCAGCGGACAGUUUGGUUUUCGACGAUGUUGCAGCCUCCGUAUUAAAUGAGGAGAGCAGGCGGAAAAAUAAGAAAAAUAGACAAGCAAGUUUGCAGCAAGCGGAGGCGUUAUCGGCGACGAGAGGGAGAUCAACGGAACGUGGCUGGCCCCAGUGGGAGUCACAAUCGUGGUAGAUCAAAAUCCAGAAGUAAGAAGAAUGUUAAAUGCUACAAUUGUGGUAAGAAAGGGCACGUCAAGAAAGAGUGUUAGAGUAACCAGAAGAGAAAAGAUGGCAAAAAACCUGAGUCAUCAAAUGCUCAGGGGUGUGUAGCAAGUACCUCGGAUGAUGACGAAAUUCUCUACAGCGAGGCAACAACUGUUUCAGAAGGUAGAAAAUGACUAUAUGAUGUCUGGCUUAUAGACUCAGGAGCUACCUGACACAUGACCUAUCGUAGAGAAUGGUUCCACACAUAUGAACAUAUCUCAGGAGAAUAUGCAUAUAUAGGUAAUGAUCAUGCCUUGGAGAUCGUUAGUAUUGGUACUAUCAAAAUAAAAAUAUUUGAUGGUACAAUUCGCACAAUUGAGGAGGUACAACAUAUCAGCGGCCUGAAGAAAAAUCUAUUGUCUUUGGGACAAAUGGAUAGUCAUAGGUACAAAACUCAUGUGGAGAAUGGAAUUAUGUAGAUCGUUAAAGGCGCGCUUGUAUUGAUGAAGGCAGAAAAGAUCAGUGCUAAUUUAUUCAUGCUUAAAGGAGAAACACUACAGGAGGCUGAUGUAUGUGUCGCGUCAAAUGGAGAAGAGUCAACGAUGAUGUGGCAUCUCAAACUUGGCCACAUGUCAGAACAAGGCUAGAAGAUUCUCUCUGAGUGAAAAUUGCUUCCAGGGUUCAAAUCGGUAAGUUUACCAUUUUGCGAGCAUUGUGUUAUAAGUAAGCAACAUAGAUUAAAGUUCAGUAGAUCUAUUACUAGAAGUAAAUGCAUUCUAGAAUUGAUUCAUUCUGAUGUUUAGGAAUCGCCGGAUAUGUCCAUGGGAGGUGCAAAGUACAUGGUGACUUUCAUUGAUGAUUAUUGCAGGAGAUGUUGGGUGUAUUCAAUUAAGAAAAAGUCAGAUGUAUUUCCAGUGUUUAAAGAAUACAAAGCGCGGGUGGAACUUGAAUUUGGUAAAAGGAUCGAGUGCUUGGGGACAAAUAAUGGUGGAGAGUAUACAGACGGCGAGUUUCUUGCUUUCUGUAAGCAAAAAGGUAUUUAGAGGUAGUUAAUGGUAGCAUACACUCCUCAACAAAACGGAGUGGCGAAGCGAAUGAACAUAACUCUUACAAAAAGAAUAAUAGCUAUGUUGAGGACUGCUGGUCUACCCAAUUCAUUCUGGGCAGAAGCAGCCAAAACUGCCUGUUAUAUCGUAAAUCGAUUGCCAUCUACAACAAUUGGGCUGAAGACAGCGAUGGAGAUAUGGACUGGAAAGCUAGCUGAUUACUCAUACCUACAUGCAUUUGGAUGUCCUGUGUACGUGAUGUACAAUGCCCAAGAAAGAAUAAAGCUUGAUCUAAAAUCUAGAAGAUGUAUCUUCUUGGGAUAUACUGAUGGAGUAAAGGGGUAUCGUCUGUAGGACCCCACUGCCCACAAGAUCGUCAUCAGCAGAGAUGUUAUUUUUUGUAGAAGAUCAACUACAAAGGAAAGAUAGAGAUGAUGACACUGUAAAAGAAAAGUCAGAGACUGUGCCAGUAUAUGUGGAAAAUAAUCCAGAAGAUUCAGAUUCUUCUGAAGCAACACCAGAGCAUGAAGAAUAAGAAUCAGUCGAGUUCGAGGCUCCAGAAGUUCGUCGGUUAACUCGUGAAAGACGACCGCCAACGUGACACUCGGAGUAUGUCACAGAGAUCAACGUUGCAUACUGUUUUCUAACAGAGGAUGGAGAGCCUUCAACUUUCCAUAAAUCUUUAAACAGCUCAGAUGUUACUUUAUGGAUGACAACAAUGCAGGAAGCAAUUGAGGCUCUACAUAAGAACAAGACAUUGGAGCUUGUACCACUACUACGUGGAAGAAAAGAUAUUGGAAACAAAUAGAUCUACAAGAUCAAAUGUGAUGGUAAUGACCAAGUGGAACGGUAUCAUGCAAGAUUGGUGGUGAAAUGAUAUGCUCAGAAAGAAGGUAUUGACUUCAACGGAAUAUUUUCUCUGGUGGUUUGACUCACAACAGUCAGAAUAGUCUUGGUAAUGUGUGCUACAUUUGACUUACAUCUUGAGCAGUUAGAUGUGAAAAUUGCAUUUCUUCAUGGAGAACUUGAAGAAGAAAUUUAUAUGCUCCAACCAGAAGGUUUUGCUGAAAAGGGAAAGGAGAACUUGGUUUGCAGGUUGAACAAAUCUUUAUACGGUCUCAAACAGGCACCGAUGUGUUGGUAUAAGAGAUUUGAUUCCUUCAUCAUAAGCCUCAGAUACAAUAGACUCAGCUCAGACCAAUGUGCAUAUUAUAAAAGGUUUGAAGAUAAUGAUUUCAUUAUUUUGAUAUUGUAUGUGGAUGACAUGUUGGUAGCAGGCCCCAACAAAGAUCGAGUCCAAGAAUUGAAGGUAUAAUUGAUUAGGGAGUUUGAAAUAAAGGACUUGGGACUAGAAAAUAAGAUUCUAGGGAUGCAAAUUCACCGAGACAGAAAUAACAGGAAGAUUUGGCUUUCUCAGAAGAACUACUUGAAGAAAAUUUUGCGACGCUUCAACAUGCAAGAUUGUAAGUCAAUUUCUACCCCACUUCCUGUUAAUUUCAAAUUAUCCUUAAGUAUGUGUCUGAGCAAUGAAGCAGAGAAGGAGGAGAUGUCUCGAGUACCGCAUGCAUCAGCAGUGGGAAGUUUGAUGUUCGCUAUGAUAUGUACUGGAUCGGACAUUGCACAAGCAGUGGGAGCAGUCAGUCGGUACAUGGCAAAUCCUAGUGGAGAGUAUUGGAUAACUGUGAAGAAGAUUCUGAGAUACAUCAGAGGAACCUCAGAUGUUGCAUUAUGUUAUGGAGGAUCAGAGUUUACUGUCAGGGGUUAUGUGGAUUCAGAUUUUGUAGGAGACUUUGAUAAAAGAAAAUCCACUAUUGGCUAUAUGUUUACACUUGCAGGAGAAGCUGUAAGCUGAGUUUUGAAACUGCAGACCGUUGUGGUUUUAUCUACAACAGAAGCAGAAUACAUGGCAGCUACACAAGCUUGGAAGGAAGCUAUCUGGAUACAAAGGUUAUUGGAGGAGUUCGGGCACAAACAAGAGAAAAUUUUUGUGUAUUGUGACAGUCAGAGUGCCUUGCAUAUUGUAAGAAAUCCAGCAUUUCAUUCAAGGACAAAGCAUGUAGGAGUUCAGUAUCACUUCGUUCAAGAAGUAGUGGAAGACGGAAGUGUGGAUUUACAGAAAAUCCAUACGAAGGAGAACCUAGCAGAUGUUUUGACCAAGCCGAUAAAUACUGAUAAGUUUGUCUGGAGUAGAUUCUCUUGUGGCCUAGCAGAAACGUAGGCAACAUGACAGUGGCGAAGCAGAAACGAUGGUGUGGAGAUUGAUUGAUCCUCAAUCAAAUCUCCAAGUGGGAGAAUGUCAAAAGAUUUGGCUGCAACAUCUAGAAGCUGCAUCUAGAAGUUUUGAAGAAGCAAAAUGGGUGGCACAUGACUUUGAAGUUCUAGAUGCUGUAAUGUUUAGUAAAAGAAAAAGAAAAAAAUUCAAAGCUAAAAAAUUCAAAGUUUGAAAAUCUAAAAUUUUUGACCUGUAUGGCUUGAAAUUUUAUAGCCACGUUUUUUACUUUUGAGGCAAAGUUUUGCCUAUAAAUACAAGCUCUCAAUUUAGAGCUUGCAUCCAAUUUUGUAAAGAAAGUCGAGAGCUGUUAGAAGCAAUUCUUGCAGAGCAGAGAGUUUGUAGAGCUUAAAUAAUAAAAGCUCUUGUUUUAGUGAUUUGAGAGUUUAGGUGUAUUAGGGUUUUGGGAAGUGAGCUAAAAUACUACAAUACUUGUAACUCUUUUUCACUAGUAAAAUAUUUUCCUUCUGUCUUCGCCCGUAGAAGUAGGCUAAAAGCCGAACCACGUAAUUUCCUGGUGUCCUCUUUGUGCUUGUUCUUUAUUUUUUUUCAAUUUUAUUUUAGCUGCGGCCCUGCUUCACCCACCAAUUUUCUAACAUCGUCUUCACUGUCACCCUGUGCCUAGGUAAUGCGUGCAAAUCAUGGGGUUGAAUACACUAUUGCUGAAUUCAAUCCAAUUCAGUGGACAUUUGACAAUUCUCCCCAGGUGAGAUUGGACUUCUAGUUUCUUGUAUUUGUUUUUCUUCAUCCGAUGUUUUCAGGGAUACCUAUUUGGCAGUAUAUAAAAAUCUGUGAUAUCGUCUAUACAUAUACAUAUACAUCAUUGGCUUCAGUCAUUUGUGAACAUAUUGGUGGUAGUAGAUGUAUUUUUAUGAUAUCUCUAAUAAAAUCCUAAGUUUGAUUAAUUACAAAAGAAGUAUGAGCGGUGCUGGACCGGGGGGGAGGGGGGAGGAGUGGGGUGUCGGUGUGUUGGGGGUGUGCAGUGCAUGAAUAAAAGGAAAUGAUAGGGGGUGAAAGUUUGUGCUACCGACAUGCUGUAAAAUGGGGACACAAUAUUUCAAAUUAGAGAUUGUGAGAUCCUUAAUAUUGCUGACUUGUGCUUAAAAUGGAAUUCUUGAUAACUUCAAAUGUUAAAGUUCUUGGUGAAAUUUUGUACUUUCUUUUCUUUCAGAUUCUUGUGCCUAUUGCAAAUGGUUCAGAGGAGAUGGAAGCUGUUAUGAUAAUUGAUAUUCUGCGACGAGCUAAAGCAAAUGUUGCAGUUGCAUCAGUUGAGGAUAAACUAGAAAUUCUGGCUUCGUCAAAUUAAAUUAGUGGUAGAUGUGCUCAUUGAUGAGGCGGCUAAACUUUCGUAUGAUUUAGUUGUCUUGCCAGUGAGUUGGGGUGCUUACUCUUGCUUCAUAGUCUUUACCACAUUAUUGACUUACUAACUACAAUUUAUCCAUGCACAUUGCACAGGGUGGACUUGGUGGCGCUCAAGCAUUUGCGAAGUCAGAUAAAUUGGUGAAUAUGCUAAAGAAGCAAAAGGAAUCAAAUAGACCUUACGAUGCUAUAUGUGCAUCCCCAGCUUUAGUGUUGGAGCCCCGUGGCUUACUCAAGGUACGACCAUUUCUGCUUAAAUUAUUUACUCAGAUUUGGAUCACCUAAUCUGAACUUGAUGAGAGAUUAUGAUGUUGUAUGAUUUUAUGAAUGUGGUCUUAUCUCAUGUAAGUCAGUGAUGAAUUAAUUGGAGUUUGUUGACAAAUUAGAAGCUGAAAAACUGCUGCUGCUUCGUUAGUUACAUUACCCAAAGAGUUAAAAUUAACAUCACAAAUUUGUUAUCCCAAAUGAUAUGGCAUUUAUUGAGUGAUUGGUAUUAAUUGUAUUAUCUAACCCACCAACAGAUGAAUGCCGCACCAUUUGAGACGAUCUUUUGGGAUAAAAAAUUUGGGAAGUGCAGCAAAUUUUUAUGCCGAUUUUUUUUGGCUUCAUUCAUGUAAACUCCUCCCCCCCCCCCCCCAAAAAAAAAGGAAAACCAGCAAACACCAAAAAAAAAAAAUUCUGAAGUACUUCCCUUAAUAUCAUUCCUGUGUAUUUCUUUUCCCCUCAAGACAUAUUUAACUUUGGUUCAGGGUAAAAAAGCUACAGCUUUUCCUGCCAUGUGCAACAAGCUGUCAGAUCAGAGUGAAAUCGAAAACAGAGUUGUGGUUGAUGGCAACCUCAUCACCAGUAGAGGGCCAGGAACUUCAAUGGAGUUUGCACUGGCAGUUGUGGAGAAGUUUUUUGGCCGCAACAAGGCACUUGAGCUUGCAAAGAUAAUGCUUUUCACUCGCGCCUAACGUUUGUACCGGGACCUGACUACUAUUAAACUAGUGUGUUUAUUUCUGUAUUACUACUGCUUGUAGAGAGGGGAAACGGAAACUUGAAUUCAUGUUUGAAUAUGGAUUCACUGUGUCGGUUUGUACAGCAGUUUGGUUUAUAAAUAAAUGAGUUCAUAGAGUCAUUUCAAAUAUUUGGAAUAAACCUGAGUUUAGUUCUGUUAUCAAUGGUCGGAGUCCAAUUGCGAUCGACUCACUGGGAAUUUUAAUUAUG
rnacentral:lncRNA from 1 species